rnacentral:lncRNA from 1 species
AAAAAAAAAAAACAGGUUUGAGGUUCUCUCGACAGUUAACUGCCGAAGUUUUCAGUAGUAUUCCUCGGUAGUUUACUGCAGAAGUUUUCCUCGGCAGUUAACUCCCGAGGUUUUCCUCGGCAGUUAACUGCCGCCGGUUUACUAAAACUUCGACAGUUAACUGUCGAAUGACAUUUUCGUAAAGUACUCGUGUGGCACAGUCUUAUGUAAUGCGUAAACAGUAAUUCUCAAAAUAAAGUUAUCAACCAUAUAGCUCAUAUAGUAAAAGAUUAGAUGAUUAUUUGAUAUCUUGGAAGCAAGUUUUAAUCCACAAUUUUUACUAUUUAUUAUGUGUAUGAGUAUUGCUGUUAAAUUCUUUAGGGAAAAAAAAAUAUCACUAUCAAUUAACAUGAUUAAGUUUAGAAGAAUCGAUUAGACUCACAAAUCCCCACAACAAACAUGAUAAAACACAUGCUAAGAAAUGUGUGACUUGUUAAAGAAAGUGUUGAUACAUGUUGACUACUAUGGAAGAUACAAAUUAAUAUGGAGAGAACGAGUGGUAGAAUGAAAGGUUUGGUCCUUUCUUGCUCCAUUUUCGCCGCUCUGUGCUGUAUGGUUAGAUCUUGCAUUGAUAUAUCUUCAGCUGAUCCGGAUUUAUAGAUUCAUCUUGUUCAGUUUAUUCAUUCUUAUGAAGGAUUGCGAGCUCGCAAUUCAUUUUUGCAACUUAUUUGGUUAUGUACAACUCACCUAAUGUUAGAUAAAGUCAAAUUACAUUCGUUUUGGUGGUUGAAAUCUUAUAAUGUCAAUCUUUGUUUAAACUCUUAUGUGUGAUGGUCGAGCUAUUUUGUUUGUAUGAGCAUCAACUACGUUGUCUUGUAUCUUUUGUUUUUGGUUUCGUGCUAACCGUAAAUUUUUGGGGUUCUUUCUGAUACAUCUUGUGUUAGUAAGGAUCCUCGGUUGAUUUUAAUAUAAUCCAUUUUGUUUGUUAAAAAAAAAAAAAAAAAAAAAAUUUGAUCUUUUUUUUAGCGUAGAUAAAGGUCUAAACUGAUAAACUAACCUAAUAGAUGCAAAAUACAUCAUAUAGAUAUUUGAGCUUUAUUCAUGGUCCUCUAAAAUCACUAUAUGCUACAUUAGUCAUAUUGAUAUUUUUUACUUACCGCGUCAUGGAUAUAUUAAUAUGACUAUUCUAGCAUAUAGUGCCCCCAAAAUAGUGUUGAAAGGUAUUUUAAAUAAGGGUUUUAGGAGUAUUUUAUAUAGGGCAAUUCAUAUGUUAGUUAUGGUAUUUGGUGUGUAAGUAACUAACUAACUAAGUUGGUUAUAAUGACUAAUGCUUUGUAAAUCCAUUUAUAAAGUGUAUAAGUAAACACAUUGUGAAAAUGAAUAAAGAAGUGAAGUGCAUAACCAUUCUAACAUCUCUCUCCCCCUCCCUCCCUCCCUCACUCCCUCUCUCUCUCUCUCAACCUCCAUCGUUCAUCUUCUAAGAGAUAAACCCCCUUUAUUGUAUAUUUUUAAUCCUAUUUAUUUGUAGUUUUUAAUUUUUUUAUUUCAUUCAUUAAUCUUGAAUUGUGAAAACUCCAUUAUUAAUGUUUUAUAGUAUUUAUUUAGGCUUAUUGUAUAUUAGUUUGCUAAUUUAUCAACAAAUUUUUCACUAUGGUAUUUUUAUUUGAUUCCCAGCAAUAAGCAAUGGAAUUAAAAAAAAAUCAAGGUCAGAACACUCGUCAACUUCUAAUCCUCAACCUGAAACAGUUAUGAAUGUGAAAGCAUAAAAUUGGGUCCAUCUUUAAAAAACACAGAUUUUUGCAAUUGGAUUUGGAAAAGCUUCAAAAUAAUCCUUGUUUCUGGCAAAAAAAUUCAAAUUAUCAUCCAAGUGAUAGAGAAGUAAUUAGAAGAUACUAUUUGCAAAAGGUUCUUUGUAAACCAAAAGAGAUUAAUUUUCCAAUAAAUAAAAUUUGGGAUGUCUUUCAUAAGUUUAAUUCGGAUUGGUAUUCGAAAUAUAGAGGUUGGGUGGAAUAUAGUCAAAAAGAGGAUGCAGCUUAUUGCUUAUGUUGUUAUUUUAUCAGACCACAUGUUAGAGAACAUAAAAGUAGUGGUGAUGCCUUUAUAAUCGAAAGAAAAAAAAAAAAAAAAAAGUGAUUGGUUCCAAUUUUAUAUCAGAGGUUUAAAUAGCUCCCAUAAUCAAGCAUGGUGAAACAGUAAAACUCUAAUGAAACAAAAGCAACAUAUUGAAGUUGCUAUGUGUAAACAAUCCCUUCAAGAUAAGGAUGAAUAUCAAAUUCACCUAAUUUUCAUAGUUGAUUGCAUUCGAUUUUUAUGAAGUCAAGGUUUAGCUUAAUAUUAAAUAGGUGUAGUCAAGGUAAUUUUUAGCAUGUUUGUCAUUGCGUUUGACAAACCACGUUCUAUAGAAAACCACGGUAAUAUAUCAGGUUUAGACAUUAGCUUAAUAAAGUCACGACAGAUUUGCUUUGGUAACCACGCCAGCCGUGCUUUUGGUAUUCUAAACUCUAUGCCAAACACAUGCUUUAUGUAACAAAACAUCACAUGUAAUAAUAAUAUUCAAUUAUAAAGAAAAAUAUAAAUGAACACGUACACAAAAGAAAACAAUAAAUUUCAAGAAAAAUAAAAGAAAAUUUUAUUUAGAUUCUUAUGAAUACAUCAAAAAAAAUAAUAGAUUCUUAUAUAUAUAUAUAUAUAUAUAUAUAUAUAUAUAUAUAUAUAUAUAUAUAAGGCAAAUGUGAUGUAGAAAGAGAACCAACUACAACACCCUAAAUAUAAGCUAAAAUAAAAGGAACAACAAAAGAAAAAUAACUAAAAAGAGAAGACGAAUCAAUUUGGAAGCCUGUCCCUAGAACGGGUAAAAUGAACUGGAAAAGUCUUUUGCUUCUUAUUUUUCUUGUACAUUACCUCAAUGAUAGGCUCUUCCAUAUCAUCAUACCAAUUCUUUAAAUAAUUUAUAGCUACCACUCUCUAUUCCUCGUCGGUAUAAACUCGAGGCACGCUAGCACUGACAUCUUUGUCGUUCCAAUGUGACUGUAGAAUCUCCAAGUCGUGAGAGACGUUGGGAGUAAAGUUGUAUUCUCAUAUAUAAUCUAAAUCUAUCAUUGCAUCAUUCCAAGGGUCAGUGAUACGCAUGUCAGGAAUUCGAUGAUCAUCCGCUUGUUUCUCUGCAUGAGCUAUGUUGUCUUCCACCUGCAUUGGUUGCACUGAAAGUGAACUAACCACGAUAAUAUAUAUAUAUAUAUAUAUAUAUAUAUAUAUAUAUAUAUAUAUAUAUAUCAUGAGUAAAGAUAUCUACUACAUAACCAGUAACUGUUGUGUCCUAGGACCUUAUUAUAUCAGUAAGAAGAGGAUCCUCUUCUAUAACAAUUUUAUGUGUUGCAAUGUUUGGAACGAGUCCUGAAGGUGUAACCUCAGUGACCUUCUCAACUUCAACAUUUGAUGCAGUAGGCUUAGCCACACGAUAUUUGUGCGCAACUACCGAACUUAAAGAAGUUUUUGAAAUAUGAUACUUUCAAUUUUUAAUAGUAUGCCUUAUUAUCUAACAUGAGUAGCAGAAAAGUAGUCUUUACCUAGAGACACCAUGGACCAAGGCGCAUUUGUUUUCCAAAACUUUGAAAUUCUUGAUUUUUAAUCUACCAUUCAAACUAGAUAGGACCCUAUGGAAGAGUGAACCUUCUGUGAAGUACCAUUUGUCAGUCUAGAAUUCCUGCCAAAUAUGCAUUCUCAGAAAUUUUGGUUGAAUUUGAUCUCGCUUGAUUUACGGCAUUAAAAGUUGAGAAACUAGAAUAUUGCAUGGGUUUGAUAAAGCUUGUCGAAACGAUUUUAUAAUCGUUGAAAAGCCAAUUGACCGAGAGGAGGGAUUUGUCAUUAUAACACACCUAUUAACCAGUUAAAAAAACAGACAUCAAACAACACAACACCCAUGAGCAAAACAAACCCAGUAGAAAUCGAAAGCAAGAAAAUCAAGUAAGUCUCACAAACCAGUAAUAAACCGAUAAACUUAGAGCUAAUGAACAGUACCAAAAGUAUGAAAUCAAAGAAUGAAAGAGUUCAGUUCAUUAAAUUCAUCAGAUUGUUAAUCCAUACCGUGAUUUCAUAUCGUGAACCACCAGGUAGGGCAUCAGCUAACAUCCCCAACUCGUUCAUGGUGUUACUAUUCAUGAACGUGAAAUGGAAGACGUGUUACCAAAACCAAAUCGAAUAAUGACAAAAUAAUCAAUUGGAUGAGUUCGAUCUCUGUCAUUUCCUCCAACACAACCGUUGCAGGAAAUGUUACAAAUAAAAAGGCCUUUUCCUCUAUGUUUGAUUUUGCAAUCCUGAAAAAAUUCAAUGUCUGCAUUCAUCCCCCAAAUGCCCCUAAGAUCAUUGAAGUCCUCUGGAACCCUCCAAUCCUGAACUAGAUUAAGUGUAAUACAAAUGGAUCAACAACUAAUACUGCUUCAGCUUGUGGAGAUAUAUUUAGAAACAAUGAUGCAAAGUUUAUGCUAUGUUUUGCUGAAAAUACCGGAAUUGAAAAUGCUUUUUAUGCAGAACUUGAUGGUGUCAUGAGGGCUAUUGAAUUAGCAUGUUAAUAUUAGUGGAGUAAUUUAUGGCUAGAAUGUGAUUCUGCUCUAGUGGGGAAUGUUUUUAAAAACAAAUCUCUUGUGCCUUGGAGAAUAAGAAACAGAUGGGACAACUGUUUAGAGAAGAUUAGAAACAUGAUUUUUUUUUGUUACUCAUGUCUAUGGGGAAGACAAGACUUGUGCUGACACUCUAGCAAACUUAGGUUAACUCUUCCUCAUUUCUAUCUGGACUGAGUUACCUUGGUGUAUAAGGUAGUAUUUUGUUAGAGAUAGACUAGGGAUGCCUAAUUAUAGAUGCACUAAUCCCUGAGGUGGUUUUAGUUUGGUUCCCAACCACUUGUUUGUACUUCCUUUUCCUUUUUUAAUAUAUUUUGGGUUGCCCUAGCUUCCUGCUAGAAUAUCAUAUAAAAUACCGUUUUUAUUUGAUAUGCAUUAGCAUAAUAAAAAACGUGGAGUGUCCGUCUUUCCACUAGUUAACAAUAAUGAUAUUUGAACACCACAAUUUUUUCUACAAACUUUUUUUUUUUGUAGUGGCCGGAGUUUGAACCCCGAACCUUGCAUAUAUUAUGCAUUGUCCCAACCAACUGAGCUUAGCUCACAAGGACUUUUCUAUAAACAUUCAAUAUACUCCAUUCGUCCCGCAAUAAGUGAGAAUUUUGUAGAAAUAUAUUGUCGUAAAAUAACUUACUCCACUUUUCAAUGCAAUAUUAAUUACUUUUUCUCAUUAUAACUUUAAUUAAUACUACUUUCAUCACUUCUAAUUCAAUAUAUUUCACUUUGCAUUUAUGAUGAUGACAAAUACACUAAUACUUGACAAGAGUAUUUAUAACCAUUUUUCUCUAUCACUCCUUUAUACAUUUUUCUUAGGGUUAAAUAUGUUUUUGGUCCCUAUAAAUUAGGGACCUUUCAAGUUUAGUCCUUACUUAAUUUUAAUUGUUCUUUUAGUCCGUAAACAAAUUUUCUGCACUCAGUAUUAGUCCCUCCUCAAUUCAAAUUUGUUUAAUUUAUGUUUAAACUCUUGAGUUUUUGAACAAUUUUUUUUUACACGCGUGUUAAGAACAUUACUAAAAGUUUCUAUGCAAAAAAUUGUCACAAAAUUUGAUUUCUACGUCCAGAUUUUGUUAAUUUUAUCUUUAACUUUUGCCGUUUUAAAAAAUUCAUAUUUAAUUCAUUUCAUGUUAAAAAAUUUUAAAUUUUAGUAAAUGAACCUUUCAUAGUGUUCUAAACUUGUCUCAAAAAAAUCGUUCAAAAAUUUAAGAGUUUAAGGAUAAUUAAACAAACUUUGCUGUAACAGGGACUAAAAUUAGAAGUAAUUCUUUUUUGUAGAGACUAAAAAACUUAUUAAAAAUUAAGUAAGGAUUAAACUUAAAAUAUCCUAUUUUAUAGGGAUCAAAAACAUAUUUAACCCUUUUUCUUAAUGUAUGAAAUGAUCAAAUAGCUCACUUGAUUUAGAACAGAGGAAAUAUCAUUUUCUUUUAUAUAUAUCUUCGUAUUCUAUCAUCAAUCAUACAUACAUACAUAUAUAUAUAUAUCCUAUCAUUCUCUUUUAUGUUUAUCUCUCUUAAUGUGUAGAGAUUAUUGUGGUGUCUAACAAACAUUUUUCUUUAAUUAAUGUACCUGCCAUUGUUAAUAUAUGAGCCGUAAAGUUCCAUGAAAAAAUAAACUGUGAUUCUAAUUUUUUUUUUUUUUAUAAAUUAUAAAUAUUAUACAUUUUUAUAUCUGUCCCUCUAUUAUAUUAUUAACAACUUUGCCCACGUUGCAUUUACUGAUGGACAGCUAAAGUAAUCCACAAGUGGCAUGAUAUUGAUUUGUCCCAAUUAGAGAUAUCUUGCCCCACAAGUAUUUAAUUAGUAAUGAAAUGCUUACCUACGUAUGAUUAAUGAUGAAUUAGACAACUAAAUUAUUCAAGAGAGUAGUUGAUGUUGCUUUCCAAUCAUAACGACAGUUUGGAUGAAUCUCUCAAGAAAAAAGAAAUGUUAGGAAUUAUACAAUAAUUAAGAGUUUUUAAAAUAGCUUAGAUUGUGGUAUAGUUAACAACAUACGUAUAGGUCUCAAUUAUUUUUUGAUGAAAUAUAUGCAUUUAAUGAUGUGCUUCAACGUUGAUUAAUUAAUAUGACAAUUGUUUUUUUUUUUUUCUUUUGUUCUAAAACUUUGGUUCUCAAGAGAAGGAAAAAUGACCAUAUGAAAUUCAGUAGAGAAACAGUUAAAGUAUAUGACUAAAAUUAUUUCAGAGUUCAAAUCAUAUUCUCUCAAUUGAUUGAUCUUUACCUGAAGCAUAUUAAGAUAGUUGGAAACAAGAACAAAGCAUGGCGACCAUAUGUAAAUAAAAAAGAAUUAUUUUAAUUAAGAACUCUUAUGAUAUAUUAGAAAGUAAUCCGAAUGUCCUCGUAAGUUUAGUUCAGUAUGGACAAUGCAUAAAAUAUGCAACGUCUAGAGUUCAAACUCUGGUCACCAUAAAAAAAUUAAGAACUUUAUAAUUGUACUUAAUAAAUCAAUUUGGUAAAAUAAUUAUUGUAUUUUUUUGAAGAGUAUAUCGUUUAAUUUGAAAGGUGGGGUUGAGUACAAACUACUAGAGAAGGGUUCAUUUGUCCUUUACUUCUAGAGCAGCCGGCAACAAGUUGCAUCAGAUUACAAAUACAUGUUCACUUAAUUCUUAAAUUGAUUGCAAAUUCAACUUGAGAAGUGGCAAUGCAUGCAUAUAUACUAUACAAAUUAAAAAAAGAGAUAAAUGUACUUAUAUCCUAAUGUUGUUUAUUGUUGAGAGGUCACAAUCUUCAUAAUUAUGUGGUACUAAAGUUCGUUGGAUUUUGCAACAGCCUCACUGCCACAUGAUUCUAGUGGAAGUGAUUACAAUGUAUCUCAUGUUGAUUAAUUUUAACAUGUGAAAAAUGAAUAAUUUACCACUUGAUUAAUAACGAAUGAAAUGAGGAUAUAUAAUGUGCUCAAAGUCUCUCUAGAGUAUAUCUAACAGCAUCUUCAAGGCUAGAACAUAAGUUACUUAAUAUCAAGGGGACUUUUAUGGUACAACCGUAAAUUAUGGUGUACCAGUACUCUCGCUUAUAAUUUUUAUAAAUUAACUAUCAUUUUUUAUGAAGAAAAUACGUGUUUGUUGACAUAUAUAUUUUAAAAAAUAUCAUUUUAUAUGGAAAAAAACAUCAUUUCAUUUUUUAUAAAAAUCAUACUAAUUUUUUUACAUUUUAUUGUAAAAAAUAAUCAAAAUUCUCUAUUAUGAGUAAUAAGAAUUCAGAAAAAUCAAAUUUUAUUGCGUUGACGUUUUUGGUAAAUAAGAUUUAGUUAUUAUAAUUAUAGGUGAUAGAAAAUAAUUUUUUCCUACAAAAAAUAACUCAUUUAACUAUUAAUUUAAGGGUUUGGUGUACCAAUACACUCAAAUUGUUGGGUGUACCAUAGAACUUGCCUAAUAUCAAUGCUAAAAUUUAUUCAAACUCCAAUGUCUAGCACAAGGAGUGCAAAAUAAUAGAGGCAAAAGCAAAAUUACAAGAAUAUCAAUUGUAACAGUGACAAGAAAAUGAACACACCCGCCCUUUAUCCUAUUUUUUAUUCUCAUGAGUCGAAGUUUUCACGUACGUUUGGUAUCACGGUAGAUAUGUUAAGAUUCAAAAUCACGACGAUUCUUAAAACUACACUUCGUAGUUUCUGCAAAAUCAUAAUGUGUCACCGCGAUACCAAACAAGACGAUCAUUUUUUUGAAUAUUAUAAGGGGGAUAGGGUUUUGGUUGGAGUUAAGCAACGUUGGUUCUACCAACAAUGCAAUAAGCACUGAUUUUUAUUUAUUUUUUGGUCGAAGAAGCAUGUAGUGAUUGAAGUAUCUUGUUUGGAUUUGGUAGUUUGUUAAAUUUGUUAUUUUAGAUGUAUUUUGAGGUUGUCUUGUAGUAUGGGUUAGUGCUAAUCUGAUGUAGAUUGAAGGCCAGCUAUGAUUUGGGCAAAAAUAUUUUACCAAACAUUUUCUUUAAAUGGUAUGGGGCCAGCUCGAGGUCCAGGAGUUUUUAAAAUAAAUAAACAACUCUAUCACUAUUGUUUUUGAGUGUAAUUAUUCAAUUAAUUUCAUCUAUUUUAUAAAUGUGUGCAUUAUUAUCCUUUAUUUAUUUCAAAAUUAUAGUAAUGAAGGGAUGAAUUUCCCUUUGUGAAUUUUUCUCUAGAAUUCAUCCACAUCCUUAAAUGUUUACCUCUCCUAUUCAUCCACAUCCUAUUUUUAUUAUCCUUUAUUUAUUUCAAAAUUAUAGUAAUGAAGGGAUGAAUUUUCCUUUGUGAAUUUUUCUCUAGAAUUCAUCCACAUCCUUAAAUGCUAUACAUCGUAAGAUUUUUCUCGCGAAUGUAUCCCGAUUGUGAAAAGGCUUUGAUAACCAAAAAAAAAAAAAAAAAACAAAAAAUAGGUUCCACUAAUGUAUCCCGAUUGUGAAAAGGCUUUGAUAACCAAAAAAAAAAAAACAAACAAAAAAUAGGUUCCACUAAUGUAUCCCGAUUGUGAAAAGGCUUUGAUAACCAAAAAAAAAAAAAAAAACAAAAAAUAGGUUUCACUUACCAUUCAGACGGUUAUACCACAAUACAAUAGUGCAAUGCAGGUAGUUUCGAGAUACUCUCGUGAUUGAAUUUUUAGAUGGAUUGAACAUUCUCCUUUUUAAUUAUAUUCUAUUUUAAAUGGUGAUUUCAAUGGACUUUUCUAUUCACCGUGAAGAUUCAAUUUCAUAGUAAUGAACACCUUCAUUUCUUUUAGAAAACAUAGAUGAUUUCAACUCAAUUUUUAUCCAAACGAAUUGGGUUGAGGUUGAGGCAAGAAUAAAAAAAUCAUGCUAACAACUUUUUUUGGUACAAAUCAUGCUAACAACUUUACGAAGAAGAAUAAUGAUAUGUGAACACAAAAGUUAACAUUGACGUAAUAUUUUAUUUUAAGAAAAUGCUAACAAGUGUCCUUGUAAUAAUAGGACACUUGUUAAUAAAUUAUAAAAAAAUUAUUAUUUUAAAAAUUAUGUAUUUAAUUUUUUAAAAGUUGAGAAAGUGUUUUAUUCAAUGCAAUUUUUUUCUCUUUAUUUUUAGUUUCUUAAUUUGUAUCCGAACAUAACGGUUAGUAAGAUCCUUUUAUACUGUCGGUCGGAUUUUUUUAGACAUUAGAGUUGUUGGCAUGGUCCACAUGAUGAGGUAAGGUAUGGUAGAGAUGUCAUUUUCUGUGAUCCAAUAGCAUCACCCCACCAUGGUAUAGAAGAUUUUAAAACAAACGAUAAAUCAUAUUAAAUUGAGGUUGUUAAGGUGGAUAACAACAAAUUAAACUAUUUAUUAAAAUGUUAAGUAUAUUUAGCAAUUGUUACUUAUACGAUCUAUUGAUAGAUCACAUUCAGUUUAGUGGGUAGUUUUUCUACACAUGUGUAAUCUCUAGCUUUUAAGCUAUCAUUGAAUGAAAUAUCCACUUUGUGGGAGAUCUAUGCUUCUAGCAAGAUUGAUUAUAGUGAAAACUUUGUAAGAAUUUGUCAUCACUAUCAUGAGACAAAGCACCAUUGACAUAGUUACUAGAAGAUUUAUGGUGAGAACUAUCAACAUUCACUUCAGGAAACAUACAUACUAGAGGAAGAGUCCAACAAAUAUUAAUAACAUGUUGAUGUUUAGGUUGCAUAUUAGUUUGAAUUAGUUUCCAAAUUACGAAAACUUUUGCUAAAAGGAAAAAAAAAUGGUAUAGAAAAGCAUCGCAGUAGGCUGUGAUUCGCGACAUUCCAACUAUAUUGACAUUUGAAGCCUAACUAUCAUUUGCAACAAUCAUAGGGGACAUGCACCGUACCCUUGAAAGGAAGCAAGAUAAACAUAAAAUUCCUAAACGACGAAAUCAAGCCAGCACAGCUGCAAAAUAUAAAUCUUAUCACAUCUUUUAAAAUAGACGGAAGAAGUAAUAUCAAGUAAUCCGAGUUAUGCAUUAAACUCACCACGAUAGAUAGUGUUUGGGAUCAAACUGUUUGACCACUUGGACAUUCAGAACAUCUUCGCCCUUUCAAGCUUGACACUUGGGACUGUGUUUGGUACCAAACUGUUUGACUACUCGAUCAUUCAGAAUUUCCUUUCUCUUCAGGUUUGAGACUCAACGCCUGUGCUCGAUACCAAACAGUUUGGCCACCCGGGCAUUCAACCAGGCUUGACACUCAGGGGUUGUGUUCUGUAUCAGUAUGACUGAGUAUAAUACUCAAGGCAACUGGAGUACUCGGUCCUUCCUGAUAGAAUCGCUUUGCUAAUCCCGUUGUCCAUAUGGUCCAAAGACACAAGGCCCAUAAAGUUUUAUUAACGCAUAGGCAGUCUCCCAACAUGGUCCAGAGUUUCUUAAUAGUAGGAGGAAUAUGUGACGGGUGCUCUUUUGCCCCCCCCUAUUGCUCUUUAUUUUGCGAAACUACAUUCAGCAGUUAUCUCCCGAAGCCUUUAAAAGAGCAAACAUCGGAAUAUGUUGUCUAAGAUUAUUCUCUCUAUAGCGCUCAGGUCUUUCUCAUUGUAAUUUGUCUUGAUAUUGAGCUUUUUGCCAGUAUCACUCUUGGUUCUUUGCUUUGUCUUUUCAUUUUGAUGUCUGAUGGUUGAGUUUUAUUAUAAUAUACUCUUUAUCACAGGCUUUGUCAAAUUUACUUAUUGAUAAUGUUUUUCAUCACGAGCAAUUGUGAUCUAUAUUCUUUUCUUGCAAUAUAUAUAGAAAAAACCAAAUGUGCAAAUAAUGAUUUUUUUUUUCCAGCAUACCCUGGGAUCUUCUGCAUUUUCUUUUUUGUUCAGCACAUUUUAAUAAAAUAGUCCUGAUACACCAACUGUAUAAGAGAUUUUUAAAUAUUACUCGGUCAGACCCUUCUUUGAAAGUCUAACUUUGAUUGACCGAACCGGUAUCAUGCAUAGUAUACAAAAAAUUCUGACCUUUACUAAAUGAAAUUCAAAAUCAUACUUGAUGCUUAUAAGUGAAGAUAAAUGAGCACAAUUUCAACAAAUGAUGUACUUUUACCUUUGUGAAAAUAAUGCUCGCAGUUCUGUUUGUUGAUGAUAUAGAGAGGAAACUGAAUCAUGCUUUCCCCGUAUAUUAUUUGCUAAAAUCGCACUUAGGUUUUAUGUGCCUGAGGUCAGGUUCUCUCAUCAAGACCACGUUCGGGUCUUUUGUACAUGGUGGUUGGCUUCUCAUGAGAUUGCGCUCAAGUCUUUAUGAGCCUAGUGGCUGGGUUCUCGCUUAGAUCGCACAUAGAUCUUUUUCCUCCGUCUUUUUGGAUCAUCUGCAUAUCAGAAAUAUUAUCUCAAGCAAAAAUAUUAGCAACUUAUAGUGUCAAUGUUUAAAAUGUUCAUUCCCAUCCCCAUUGACAAGCCAUAUGGGGAAGCCCUCUUCAAAAAGAAAAUCUGCACUUCCAUACUUUUUUUAAGGAUUUCCAACAAUAACUCAUAAGUUACAUUAGAUAAAAUAAUGAGGCAACAGAGUGACAGAGAUAGCCUAAAAUAAAUAGCGUUAGAUUCAUUAUAAUGAUCCUCUUUCAACUGGGAAGCAAAACAUACAAUACAUCAGUCAUAUACACUAUACAAAAGAAAUAACAAAUAUCAAAUAUAAAUAUUUUGUUUCCAAAACGCAAAAGUUAGUAUACAUCAAAAUACAUACAUAAUAGAGUCCUUCAGUGUAUGUAUUUGAUAUACCAAAUGGAAUCAAAUGCAUGAAAUCAAUGUCAGGGAUGUUUGCUGACAGCCUGACACAAGAGCAAAACCUUCACAAUGUAGCUGGACAUCAACUUUUUCAAUAUUAAAUCAAAUUUCCUAUAAGCAUGCCAUUCUCAAGUUAAACACAGACACUCUGCAGCUUUCCCAUAAGUAAACUUGUCAACAACCCACAAAAGAGAUAUGCAAUGCUUCACACUACUGCAUUGUUGUUUCACAAUCCAAAGAAGUUACUUAUCAAAGAACAAAUUAUUACACAACCAAAUAAUAUCAUUCAAAUAGAUAAACCAGAAAUGGGGUAAAUGCCAGUAAAGAUCGCAUAGUGCCAGCAUAAAAAAAUCAGACACAUAAAGCAGCAGGAACUAAACCAGCAAUAGCAACAUCAAUUAGGAAUUAAAAUCCAAAGUAUUGAAUCUCUAUUCAUGUGAUAAUUCCACCUUUUUUGGUGGAUUUUUCAAUUCUUUAUUGUGAGUAGUAAAAUGCCUCAUUAAAAUACUUCAAAUUUUAAGUCUGCCUUGUAAAACAUAAAAAAAGGAGCAUUUUAUUAGAGAUAUCCUUUCAAAACAAAAUAUACGUACUUUCCCACCCAUGUUAUUCCUCAUCUAAACACACAGAGGUUGAGUUUAUGAAUGAUGACCUAAGGAAAAUUACAGUCGAGUUGAUAGUUUUGAAUUUGUAGAACCAAUGUAUGUUUGAUAGAGGAUAACUUGAGGAUAUCUUCUGUUGCAGAUAAAGGUGGUAGCACUGGUAGGAGCAUAAACAAAUUGAAGAAAAAUGAAUCUAUUAACAUAAAAGCAGAAUACAAAAACAACCAAAAUGGAUCUUAUUGAAGACUAAUUCACCAAUCAAUGGUCUGAAAAAGGCCCAACUAUAAAGCAAUGCUUUGAAGCUAACGAAGAAGCACAAGUAUAUUUGAAAAAAAAUAUGGUAGUACAAGAUUCUAUUCAUCAUAAAAUCAUAAUAUUUUACAUCAGAAUUCAGAAUCACAAACUUCUUAUGCGAUUAAAUGUCUCAGCCGACACUUUCAUCAUUCCCGAGUUACAAAAUGAAGAUGCUAAUGAAUUCCAUACAGAAAUUUCAGGAAGCUUUCCUUGGCUUAUCAUGUCUUCCAACCACAUAAGAGCUUUCCUUAGAUCUUUAUGUGCCUGAGGUCAGGUUCUCAUCAAGAUCACGCUCAGGUCUUUAUGUACAUGGUGGUCGGGUUCUCACCGAGAUUGCGCUCAGGUCUUUAUGUGCCUGGCGUUGGAUUCUCACAGAGAUCGCCCUAAUGUCUUUAUAGCGGGCAGGUUCUUGCUUAGAACGCACAUAGAUCAAAAAUAUUAGUAACUUAUCAACAUAAUAGCAGAAAUAUUAUGUCAAUGUUUACAAUGUUCAUUCCCAUCCCCAUUGACAAGCCAUAUGGGGAAGCUCUCUUCAAAAAGAAAAUCUGCACUUCUAGACUUUCUUCAAGGAUUUCCAUCAAUAACUCAUAAAUUACAUUAGAUAAAAUAACGAGGCCCCAGAAUAACAAAGAUAGCCUACAAUAAAUAGCCUUAGAUUCAUGCUAAUGAUCCUCCUUUAACAGGGAAGCAAGACACAAAAGAUCAUUAUCGGACAUCAGUCAUAUACACUAUACAAAAGAAAGAACAAAUAUCAAUAAUAAAUAUUUAGUUUCCAAAACGCAAAAGUUAAUAUGCAUCAAGAUACAUACAUAAUAGAGUCCUUCAGUGUAUGUCUUUGAACUUCAUUUUAUUGCUAUUUGAGAAUCUUCUAAGAAGCAAACAAUAAUUGCUAUUUAGUUGAAAAAUACACUUAAAGAACUCAAAGUCAAGCAACAUACUCACAAAACCCAUCAAAGUCAACACCGAAUCAGAAGCACAGUGAAAAGAAGUGAAGCAGUAGCUAAUAUUCAUCUCUAUAGAUAAUAAAAAGAUGUUUCUCCCUUUUAAAAUAAUUAUAAACAGGUUCAAAUAGUUUAAAUAGUCAAUUAAAGGAAGCUUGAGUUCUAGAUAAUCAAUUAAAGCUAUGUCUCGACUACAAACUUUAGGUCACCUUUUCGUAAUAAAAAAAGAAAUGACGUCAAGUAAAUCAAAAUACAGGUGUGCAAAGAAGCAUGUUUCUCAAACGAUUCAAUGUGAAUUAAUCAACACCUAAAUAUCAAGAAAUGUAAUAAUAGCAUAUUGUAUAAAAUUGUAUGAUUCAUUCACCUUCAAGAUCUUCUUUUUUAGUCAGCUUGUUGUCUCUUCAACCAAAUCCUCUACUCAAAUUAGGCAACAGUUGGACCAAGAUCACUCCUUCCAUUCUUGCUUAAAGUUCAGUUCCUGCAAAUUUAAUUUCUGCAUUUUCUAUCCCAACUAUCUUAUUGUAUUCAAAGCAAAAUUUUCCAGAUAAUAUCACCAAAUCAGUUGUGUAACACAUAAGGACUCUUAUUUUAUUUUAUUGUUAUAUCUUUUUCAUCCAUUUUUAUGCAACAUAAUAACACAUAGAUGCAUAUCAUAUUAAUUUCCCAAAUAGAAUCAAAUGCAUGCAAUGCUAGCAUGUUUGCUGACACAAUGAGCAAAACCUUCUCAAUCUAGCUGGAUAUCAACUUUUUCUAUAUUCAAUCAAAUUUCCUAUAGGCAUGCCAUUUUCAAAUUAAACCCAAACACUCUGCAGCUUCCAAUAAGUAAACUUGUCAACAACCCAAAAAAGAGGUAUACAAUGCAUCACUACUGCAUUGUUGAUUCAUAAUCCAAAGCAUCGACUUAUCAAUGAACAAAUUAUUACACAACUAAAUAACAUCAUUCAAAUAGAUAAACCAGAAAUGGGGUAAAUGCCAGUAAAGAUCAUAUUGUGCCAGCAUAAAAAAUCAGACACAUAAAGCAGCAAGGACUAAACCAGAUAAAUAAAAAACACCCAAUAUUAUUGGGAGGACUCAUACUCUCACGGGGCUCGGAUACAGAAUCAGCAAUAGCAACAUCAAUUAGGAAUUAAAAUCCCAACUGUUGAAUCUCCAUGCAUGUGAUAAUUCCACUCUUUUUGGUGGAUAUUUCAAUUCUUUAUUGUGAGUAGUAAAAUGCCUCAUUAAAAUACUUGAAAUUUUAAGACUAACUUGUAAAACAUAAAAAAGGAGCAUUUUAUUAGAGAUAUCUAUCCUUUUAAAAAUAAAAAUGUAUGUGCUUUCCCUCCCAUGUUAUUCCUCAUCUAAACACAACGGUUGAGUUGAUGGAUGGUAACCUAAGGAAAGUUACAGUUGAGUUGAUUGUUUUGAAUCUAUGGAACCAAUGCAUGUUAACAGAGGAUACCUUAAAGAUAUCUUUUGUUGCAGAUAAAGGUGGUAGAAGCAUAAACAAAUUGAAGAAAAAUGAAACUUUCAACAGAAAAGCAAAGUACAAAACAACCAAAAUGGAUCUUAUUGAAGACUAAUUCACCAAAUCAAUGGUCUGGAAAAGGCCAAACUAUAAAGCAAUGCUUUAAAGCUAACGAAGAAGCAUGAGUAUAUUUGAAAAAAAAUAGUAGUUCAAGAUUCUAUUCAUUAUAAAAUCAUAAUAUUUUACAUCAGAAUCCAGAAUCACAAACUUUUUAUGCGAUUAAAUGUCUCAGCAGACACUUUCAUCAUCCCCGAGUUACAAAAUGAAGAUGCUAAUGAAUUCCAAACAGAAAUUUCAGGAAGCUUUCCUUGGCUUAUCAUGUCCUCUAACCACAUAACAGCUUCAUAUUGCCUACCUAAGGAACAAAGACCCUCAAUGAGCAAAUUGUAACUGUUUGCAGAAGGCCAAUAUGAUUUAAUUGACAUUUGUUCCAAAAGUUGGCUUGCCUGAAGAUACUUUCCCUCGCGACAAAGCAUUUCUAGUAAAAUGCAAUAAGUUUCUUUGUCGGCCAUGCAAUUUACCUUUUUCGACAUCUUGUUCAAGCUUUCGAGCACCGACGUCGAAUUUCCUACACUACGUAUGUUUUUCAAGAGAAUAGUAUACACUCUAGCAUUAGGCAGACAAUUGACUUCCACCAUGUCCUCUUCAAUUACCUUGAUUGCUUCAUCUACCUUCCCAACCUUGCACAAUGCAGCUACCUUUGCCUCAAAAAUAGAAUGUUUUGGUCUAAAGCGUCUGUCUUUCAUUUCAAUAAUAACUUUAUCAGCCUCAUCUAUCUUACCUUCUUCGUAUAGAUCAACUGCCAUGGAAGUAUAACUAGCAGUGCUAGGAACCGAACCCCUAACCAAAGCUUCAUGAAUCCAACGUUUAGUGACUUCUACAUCUUUACCAUCACCGCACUGAGUAAUAUCAAGUCGGUUAUAACAUCGCUUUGGAGCUUUCAGUCCUUUCCUCAAAAUUUUACCGAGAAUUUCCACAGCUUCAUCAAAUUUUCCAUUAUCACAUAAAGCAUCCAAUAGAGUUCUAUAGAUUACAAUGUCCUCACCAUUACCUUUCAGAGAUAUUCUCCAGAACAUUGAAUACAACAAAUGAGUCGCCUCAUGUAACCUCUUAUCCUGACACAAUCCCUUCAUCACAAUUAAAUAACUUUCCCUAUUAGGGUAGCAGUCUUGAUAAUCCAUCUCUUGAAAUAUCUGCAAUGCCAAAUCCGAUCGACUCUUCCGGCAUAAAGCAUACAUAAGCAAGUUCAACGCCUGAACGCGAGACUUCACUUCCCAACCACAUGAACUCUCAACAAAAAGACUAUGAGCAUCUUCAAGCUUAUUCUCAUUCACCAUUAUCUUCAAAAGAGUAUUGAAAGAUUGAGUCCAAUUCACACAGUUAAACUGAGGAAUGUUCUUAUAAAGAGAGAUUGCUUCAUCUACUAGCCCUUCUUUGGCAUAUGUCUUAAUCGCAGACACAAAUACUGAAUCUUAACACUCACAUGAAUCUUCUUUCAUUUGCUCAAUCAAAUCGCUCAUCUCCUUGAGUCUCCCUGAUGUUCCAAGGAUAUUGAUCAUGGUGGCAUAUACAGGACCAUUGUGGGAAUAAUUAGGGUACUUUGAUUUGGCUUCAUUGAAAAUUUCCAAAGCCUUUAAAGGGUUCUUUUGAGUUCUUAUAAUCUGAGUAAGGUAAGUUGGAUUCAACACUCUUGGCCACCUUAUACUCAUGCAGUGAUGAAGCUUUAACAAAAAAUCUGGGAAAACCAAGUUUUUUAAAAUUUUAAUACAUAAAUGAAAUAUAUAUUAUCAUUUGCAUAUCACAAAUGUAAGCUGUAAAUUUGCAAUGUAAAUAUAAAUUUUUAGUCUAUGUUUUGAUGAGUGACGAGUUUUGCAAAAUCAUGAUCCAAAUUGUAGUUUUUGCCAAAAUCACAGUGCCACACCAUGAUUGUGCCAAUCUCACAGCCAAUCGAAACAUAUCAUAAAUCCUAUUUGCUUUUGUGGUGGAAGCAGGCUCCAUGCACGUCGUCUCUAAAGCUACAAAACAUAGCUUGUUAUUUUCACGUUAAAUAUGCCAUGGGACGUGAGAAUUCCACAUCUACCGUAGUUCGAAACAAGCAAUUAAUGUACUAGCUAUCGCAUUUUCCAUAUUCAAAGGAAUGUUAAGUUUGUUAAAAUUUUCAACAUCAUAAAAGGAAGACUACAUGAAACCAUCCAAUAAAAUUGAUAAAACUAUUAACAGAUACAUAUAUAUAAUCAAACAAAAAAUAUAUGUCCGUACUAUUUUCUUGUACAAAACUUCCAAUAAAAAGUACCCAACAACAAGAGUAUAUCCAUUCCGACAACAAUUAAAAUGGUUAAUGUAGUUCAAAUAUGAAGUUAAUUUUUUUUCCAGUGGAUAACUAAUAAAUAGGGGUAAUAGUCAUUUUGAUCCUUAAAUGUGGAACGAGUAGCCACGAUAGUCCUUCAAUGCAUCAAAAUUGCAAAAUAGUCCUUGAUCGUGCAGUUCAUCAUACUAGUAUACUUAUUUAUUGUCAUACGACUGAAUGUCAUUUCAGUCCAUAUAUGAACAGUUAUCGUGAGCAUUGAGAGAUUAUUUUAGCAUCAAGAACUAUUUUGACUAACAUAGCACAAUCAAGGACUAUUGUGACAAACCAAAAUGACUAUUACUAUUACUCUUAAUAAACAUAACAGUGUGAAAUCUACCAAAUAAAAUUAACCACGAUUUUGAAGGGUAUCUUUAACACAGAUUGUGGUAAUGAAAAUCAUGUUUAAUUGAACCCAAUUUAGAUGAUUAAUAAUGAAUUUCAUGGUUAUUUGAACACCUGAAAAUGGUGGUGAAUUAAACUUACUGUGAUGAAUAGUGACGACAGCAAACGUAUAUUAUGAGUGGCGAAUGGCGGCGGCAACGCAGCGGUGGCGGAGGUAGCUGAAGGAGACGGAGUUGUGAAUGAAUGAAGUGUGGAAAAUUGAUAUGAUUUGUUUGAAUACAUAUGUAAAAUUUUGUAAGAAAUGGAAUCAAUCAAAGUUUUGCAUGUGUUGAAGAAAAGAAAAAGAAAGGAAUAUAUUGAAGAAAAGAAAAAGUAAAAAAACAUGAAAGCUAUACAAGUAAAUAACAAGGGCGUGUUUAGCAAUUUCCAAAAUUAACUUAACUUAGCCCAUAAGAAAAGUAUCAAAAAAAUCUUCAAAAAAUAAAAAACAAAAAUCAGUAUAUCACUCACAUCAUUGAAUUCACGAUUCAGACAAGUACAGAGAACACCGAUCGAUAAUCACAAAGAAAAUCAACAAACCACCGUUCAAAUAAGCGAUGGCAUUGCAGUGGAUGAUACUCACCUAUGUGGUGGCUAUUGAAGCUGCUGUAGCGAUUCUUCUAACACUUCCUUCACCAAAGCUUUUGAGGAACCGUUUGACUUCUCUGAUUUCGCUUAUUCUUCAACCUGCGCUUUUCAUUGUUCCCUUUGCUGGGUUUCAGCUUCUUGGUAAUUUUUCUUCUUUUUGAUUUAAUGGGUUUGUUUUAUUUCGUAUGAAAAUUGAUGGGUAUGCAUCAAAAUGUUUAAUUUUUGACUUUUGGGUUUGUGGGUAUGUUUUAAAUUGAUUCAAUUUCUUGUUUUUCUGUAAUGGUCUCUUUAAUUUCGUGUGAAAAUUGAUGGGUUUGUGGAAAAAUCUUUGCUUUUUAAGUUUUGGGUUUGUGGGUUGGUGGAAAUUGUUGAAGUUAUUAGGGGGUUUAGGGUUGAUUAAUUGUGGUUGUUAAUGGAAAAUUUGAAUCUUUUUCAAUUUGGGAUGGAUUUUUUUGGUGGCUAGAUUCACUUUUAGGUUGGUGGGUGUGCUGAAAAUUGAUUCAGUUGAUAAGCUUUUGGGGGGGUUUGAGAUGAUUAAUUAUCUGGGUGUGUGGCUGUGUAGCAUGGAUACACGCGACACAAACACUAAUCCAAUAAUUUGAGAGCGAAAAUGACAUAUGUAGGUGUUAAACAGUGACACAUGCCAGACACCUUACAAUUAGAAGUGUCCAUGCUAUAGAGGCGUGUGGUUGGUUACGGAAAUUUUAAAUUGUUUUUUCAAUUUGGGAUGAAUUGUGUUGGUGGCUAGAUUCAGAAGUUGAAUAUGGCUUAGGAGGGUUUGCUGUUUUUCUUAUUCUCUUUUAAUUGUGUGGUAGUAAUUCGCUUUUUGAGAAGAUACAUAUAUCAUCGGGAAAGAAGCUUAAGUUGGAGUUGAAAAAGGAGGUGGUGUUACAAAUAGUGUUGGAAUUUGAAAACGACAACGGGAAAAGUUGGGUAGGUAGAAAGGAAGAUUGUGAAAUGCAUGGGAAAAUGUCCACUACUCUUUCAAUUGCCACUACUAUUCUCGCAUGAUUUCUCUUUUGUACCGAAUUCUAUUCUAAAUCAUUAGAAUUCCUACACCGAGACUUGGAUUUUAUCGGUUCGUCCCUAGAAUCCAUUUUUACCGUUUGAUACCAAUUGUGAGACGGUAAAAAUGGAUUAUAGGGACGAACCGAUAAAAUCCAAGUCUCAAUUGUAAGAAUUCUAAUGAUUUAGAAUAGAAUUCGUUACAAAAGAGAAAUCAUGUGAGAAUAGUAUUGAAUGAGAGUUUUAGGGUUUUAGAGAGAAGAUAAUUGUUGAAUAUUGAUUGAUUGCAAAUGAGGCAGAAGGCCAAGUAUACAACCCUCAAGGCUAAAAGAGUAAAAUGACAUAAGGUAAAUGCUAUUUAAAAUAACUAAAUAUCUAACACUUUAUUCCUGUAACAUCCUCUCUACUUGAACUGCUUCCCGCUGCCAUUGUCAAAAUUUCAAAGCUAACCCUAACUCCACCACUUAGACUCUAUUUGCAAAGGCCAAAUUUCUAGCUUGUAGCAGAUGGCUUAUUGCAUACAAGUUCAUAUGACCAAAAUAGACCUGUUUGAUAACCAAAAAAAAUUCACCAGCUUGUGGUGGAUAGUUUAGGGAUGAUUAUUUAUCUGGGUAUGUGGUUACUUAGUAGUGAAAAAUUUGAAUCAUUUUUGAAACUUGGGAUGGAUUGUGUUGGUGGCUAGAUUCAUAAGUUGAAUAGGGCUUAAGAGGGUUUUCUUGUUUCUUGCUUCUCUUUUUUGUUUAUGUUUGUUGAUUGUUUGGUAGGAGUCCACUUUAUCAGAAGAUCUAUAUAUCAUAGGGUACUUUUGUGGGAUCUACUGGUGCUGAUCCUGAAUUUGUGUAAUGUAAUUUUAGCUUUUUAUUAGAGUGUGUUAUUUUGAAACACAAAUUUCGACAUCAAUAUAAAUGGUUAAUGCAGUCCAAAUAUGUGGUUAUUGUGUUCAGUGGAUAGUUAGUGAAUACAACAAGAUGUUGAAACUCAUUAAACAUUUACUAAAUACAAUUAACCAUAAUUUUGAACGUUAUUAACCAUAAUUUUGAACACACAUCUAUUUAACUUAAUGAAUGACAUGUUUAUCUGAACACCUGAUAAUCGUGUAUAUUUGAACAUAAUUUGGAUGGUUAGUUGAUGUAUGUGUAUUUAAACACUUGAAAAUUGUGGUUAAUGAUUUUCAAAGUAGUGGUUAGUUGUGUUCGGUGGAUGAAUAAUGAGUUGUGAAACCUUGUGAUAGUCAUCAACCAUCCCCGUAAUUAACCAUAUAUUUAAACUGCUUGAACUAUCAAUGUGUUUCUCACCCUUCCUUUCCACCCAACUCGACUCAUUUUCCAUUGUCAUUUUGAGAUUUGAACGCAAACUCUAACACACCACUUUUUUCAACUCCAACUUAAGCCUGUUACAGUAAAAAAUCAAAAUUACAUUAAACUGAUCUUACAUAUAUAUCACACUUAAGCUUUUUAUGUUGUUUGUUUGUAGAUAUAUACUGGAAGGCUGAGCAUAGGUUGAUGUGUACCUCUGACGUUUGUACUGCUGCUGAGAGAGAUCGCUAUGAGAAAACUGUAAGUAAUUUUACGGAUGUCAACGUAGCUUAUUUGAAGAAAUCAUAGUUUCCAUUGUAAAUUGAUUGUUGUCUAUGUAUUUCAUGUGCUUAAUUAACUUUUGAUGAUGAAAGACCAUAGCUUGGAUUUAUGAUUUCAAGUAUAUUGGUUUAAAAAUUUGAGCAAUUUUAUGAAUAUUUGAUUAAAAUAAAUCUUUGAAAGCAUUUGGUAAUAAAGGUUUGAGCAGCAUGGCUUACAUUCUUUGCAUGUUUCUAAGGAUUUGUUAGAUUCUCAGCUGAUCAUCAUAGUUACAAUGCACUUUUAUGAUCGGAAAGAUACAAAAUUAAUAACUGGAAGAACCAAAAUCUAAUGUAAAAGUUGGCCAUCAUCACAGGAACCCUGUAUACAAGUUUAACUGUUACUAUUUUAAACUUUACAUCCUUCAUGUCCUUAUUACUUCUAUAUAUAUUCUCAACUUUUUGAUUCAAUCUCCUUAUUGCUUGGUUUGAUGGUAAUUUGCCUCAAAAGCAGGAGAUGCCGAGUUGUCCAUACCAACACACACACGCCCUGUGACAUUUAUAUAGUAAGUUAGAGUAAAUAAUAGACGACCUUGUCAACAUUAAGUUUUGUUUCCAAAAUGUUGUUUGUUGUUGACUUCAAUCUGGUUUUAUUAAAUAGCAGCUAUUGCAUAGUGAAAAUUGAACAACUCACUAUUGUUCUGUGAUACGCUAUUUAGUACAAAGUGUUGUCAAAUAGUGGUUAUAGGACUGUUGUAUAGCGGAAUUGCAUUAACCCGCAAUUUUCUGUGAUAUGCAAUUGACAACAUUGCUUCAAUCAUAAAAUGUGAAACUCUAAGGCUGUGCCAUCUCAGUAUUUCAUAUUCAUCAUACUGCAUGACUAGUGCUGAAGCUUCCUUUAGGUUUUUACUUUAUUCAAGAAGUUAAAUGCCAUAUUCCUCUCCUUAAAAUAAUCUACAUCAUUUCUUUAUUGACCAUUUUUUUCUUACUCAGACAUACAAAGCUCAGAGAAACGUGAUACUGUGUAUUUCGGCAUGCCUUCUCUACUGGUAAAGUGAAUUUCUGUGUCUUUUUGGAAUAGAACAAAGAGCAAAUACUUCGAAUUUUGUUUUUGGUCGUGUACUCAUUUUUUAGUCUCUACAAAUUACAAACUGAAUUUUUUUUAAGGACACAGUAUUGUAAUUUGUAGGGACCUAAAAGUGCGUACAGAGACUAAAAACGAGAAAUAUAAAUGUUGGAUGAACUAAAAACAUAUUUAACCCUAUAAUGAACGUUGGUAUUGUCUUUGUUUUUGUAACUAAAUGAAAACAUAUGGACGUGGUGACAGGGCUAUAUACCGCAUUUGCAAGUUCCAGAAGGAUAUUCAAAGUAUGGAGGAAGUUGAGAAGAGAAUCAAGUCUAAGUAGAAGCUUCUUUUUACAAUCUAUAUUGGCAUGGUUAGUAAAAGAGAGCUUUUGAGGGAUCUUUAGUUGAGUCUUACUUGUAUGGAUACUAGUGUGCUGCCCGUGCGACGCACGGGUGGAAUUACAGUCGGCCAUAGACUACACGAUGACGUAUGAGCAGAAUUACCAUCGGCUUUUAACUGACGGACUACACGACGACGUAUGGGCAGAAUUACCGUCGGCUAUGGGCGGACGGACUACACGACGACGCAUGGGCAAUAUUACCGUCGGUCACGGACUACAUAAUGUCACCAUGACACUGGAACACAAACUAAAUUUAUGAACAUUAAAAUUUUCAGUGAUAAAUUCUAGCACAUAUUCUUUUGGAUAACAAUUACAUUUUUUGACACUCAUAUUAUUCUUGUUCUAUUUCGACAAAAUUUUAUUGCAAGUUGAUAUUAGAUUUUAAAUAUUUUAUUAUUUUGAAUAUAUUUUUGAAGAUACAUUUGAGAAUAAAGGUAUUUUGAAAAUUAAAUGAUAUAUAAACUUUAGGUUUGAAAUUAUUUAAUCAAAUUUGAAAGAAAAAAAAAAAUGCAAUUUUUAACAUCUGUUAGGGUUAAAAAGAAAUCCUGUUUCAAAACCCGGUUUCUUCUCUUUCCCUUCAUUUUUCAUUCUUACCAUUCUUCUCAAAACCUCAAAUACAACGAUCUCUGUUAUAACCCUAACCUGCCGCGCCGCCUUUUUUCCCCACCAUCGUCGAGAUCAGCCUCGUUUGGGCAAAGUAAUCACAUUUUCUUCGUCUUCUCAACCCGAUCCAUUUUUCUAUCCAUACAGAAUCACUAAAGUAUCAGGAUGGGAAAAUGGGUAUUCCGUUUUGAAAGAGUUUCGAAGCAACUCCGGGCUCAAUUUCAACAAUCGAGCAACAUAUUUAUCAUGCUCUCCUUCUAUUCGACAAAAUAUUUGUAAGUUUCCAUCGUUCAACAUAUUUUUCUGAAACCCCCAAAAUCCUAAUUUUUUUGAAACCCCAAUUUAUUUAUGCUCCGAAAUUCAAAUUUAACCUUAUAUCAUUCCUCUGAGUUAGUUUGAUUUGAUUCUUCCGACCGAUUUAUGUAUAAAUCAUAAAUUCCCCAUUUCUAUUUUGAAUAUGUAUUUCCCCUCAUUAUUAGAAUCCAAAAAUAUCAUUUUUGCUGUUAGUUUGGAUUGUUGUUUACUUUCAAAUUUCAUCUUGAUGAGUCUAUGGGUCAUAACAUCAAAAUCACGAGGAAGGGAACAUUUGGUAUCAGGGGAAGAAACGUAUUGGGCGAUUUUAGAAAUUAACAAUUGAUAGAUACUACCCGAAGAUAUAUAACCUAAUGCUUGUUUAUUUAAUAAAUCAACAUUUGUUUUGCCUACUAAUAAGUUAUGCAUAUCUUCUUGAUCUCUUAAGUAGCUAAAUUAUGUAUAAUGAUCAUAUUCUUCAUUGUUGUUUUUUAGUACAAUGAUCAUGUACUUUUACAUAGCAAAAGAUAAAUUGAGGAAUAAUACUAGGUAAAUAAUAAUCAACAAAUAUCAUGGAUGACAUUAGAUGGUUAGCCUACAUGAUUAAAAUAUACAAAUGACAAUAUCUUUGACAUUAGAUAACUAUAUUUUGUGCUUAAUACCAAAAAAUUGUGCUGCUCAUCAACUUUGGAUCAUGCAGUUUUCUUUUGGUUGAUGCCUCCUAUGGUUGCUGUACAGAUAUAUUAGCAUGUAACAAUUGUAAGUACAUUCCUUGAGUACUUCAAUUCUAAAAUGUAACUGUUUUUUUAUCUGAUGAAAUUUUCUUCCAAAUUAGUUAACAUAAUCCUUAUGCAUCAAGUUGAAAUAUAAAUAGGAGUAUUAUUGUUCAUCAUUAAUCAACGAUAUAUGUAUAUAUAUUUUAUAGGAAGGCUAAAAUAUGGUUUUAAUCCCUGCAAAUAUGUCUCGUUUUGGUUUUAAUCCCUGUAAAAAAAAAAUUGUUUUUGUUCCCUGCAAAAUUUUUUGUUUUUUAAAAUAGUCCCUAACCUCACUUUUGUGAUGAUUUGCAUACGUGACACAUUAUAACUGAACCAAUUUUGUAAUUUUUGGUCCCUGCAAAAUAUUUUGUUUUUAAAAAAGGUCCCUACAAAAUUUUUUGUUUUUUAAAAUAGUCAUAUUUUCAAAAACAAAAAAAUUUGCAGGGACCACAAAUAUUAUUUUUUUUCUACAGGGACUAAAACCAAAACGAGGCAUAUUUGCAGGGACUAAAACCAUAUUUUACUCUUAUAGAAAUAGUAUACAACAUAAGAAAAAAAUAUAGUUGAUUUUUGAUUAAAAAAAAUGUAGUUGAUAGGAAUAGUAUUAUUAACUUGUCCUUCAUGUGCUCCGUUUUUUUUACCAAAAUAGGAUACACAAUAUUCUUUAUUAACUUUCUGAUCAUUCUCACCAAUUUCAGUAUAAAUUCCAAUAAGUUUAAGUUAACUAAUGACUGUGUAUGAAAAUAUAUUUUAUACUCAUUAAAAAUAUGUCCUCAUGUGAAAUUAGAUCACUAUGCCAUGUCAUGAUGACAAUUUAUGAAGAGUGCAAGGAAGCAAUACCCUCAUUGAAUAAAAAGAAAAAAAAAUUGGACAAAAAAGGGAUAAUUUAUAAUUGUCUCUACUAUUUGAAAACAAAAAUAAUAAUCUUGGAUCUUAGAUUUAAAUUUUAGUAAAAUGAAAAUUGACUGUAAGGUGAGAACCAUUGUAAGACCACCAAUGUUUAUCAAGGAACUCUAAAUGUUGGUUCGUUGACUUCCAUAGUUAUUGUUUUUGAAAAAUAGUGUGCUUUGAGAUAAGAUUGAAGGACUUGAGAGUGUUAAUUUUAGUUUUGGUCCCCUAAUUUGUUAUUUAUUCUGAUCAUUCUUUAUCUUAGAUUCAAGAAAGAUAAAAAAGUUUAAGUUUGAUUCAAUUUAAAAGAACAAUAAUUGUCUUUGAAUGAUAAAACCUGAAUACUUCAUAGUUGGGCAUAUAUUUUGCUGUGUAUUUUGAUAAGUUCGUUGUUAUAAAAGAUGUAAGCUUGUAUUUUUGUUUAAUCUUGGGCAAAUAUACAUUUUAGCAAGUUGUUUAUUUAUACUUCCUGCCAAUCAGUUAAUCAUUAGAAAAUAGUGAUAAGUAGCCCAUGUUGUUUAUUUAUAAUAAUAAAAAACACAUUUUACCAAAACACAAUAAAGAAAAACAAUGUGAACAUUUUAGAUCUAUGGCACACUCAUCAUUCUGCUAUGUGUUUUCAGCUUUCAAUUUUUUUAUUGUUGUGGUGUUUGGAUACACUAUUCUGACUUGUGUGUAGUAUAAUAAUUUAGCCUAUAUAUAUUAUGUGAGGGGAGGGCGUCACAAAUUCAUUUCAAAUCCUAUCUUUAUUCAUUAUAGAAUGUAAAAUCUGGGAUUAAAAUAUUUAAACAUUUAAGGUGACAACUAGGGUACCCAUGGAAGAAUGGUGGGUAAUUUACCCCAACCAAUACACAUUAGCCACAUAAGCACAUUUUUAAGUGGUAUCCAUGAACUAUCUUGACCCCACCAACAAAUUGCUCAUUUUCAUUGGUUGGUGGGUAAAUUACCCACCAUUCUUCAAAGAUAAUUUAGAAAAAACCAACAUUUAAACAUUUUAUGUGUGUGACACCACAGUUGGUUUGCUGAAAUCACGGUGAGUUAUCGUGAUUUUUCAACUGUAAUAUCAAAUUUGCACUUGGUGUUCCACACGAAAGCUACAUUUUGUGACUUCAACAAAGUCACGAUAUGGCAUCAUGAUUUUCUCAGUCCAGUGUGAUAAACAAGAUGCUUUUAGUUUUAAAUGAAAUUCAAAACAAUCAGGAUUUUUUUUUUUUUUUAAAAUAAAAAACAAUUAGGGUUUUGAAAACGCAGAGUUUAACUUACAAGGUUAUUUGUCGAUGUUCCUUAAAAAAAGUUUAUUUGUCAAUGUGGCAUAUGAAAUAAAAUAUAAAUAGAUCGACUAAUCUAUUGUUAUUUUUCAACGCCGCAAAUAUGAUGAUGUUCAUUACCCGCGGAUGAGGAUUUCCUGCUGUAAUAUUUACACGCAGUUGCACGCUGUAGCUGUUCUACACCGUCUGAUCUGAAGUGAAUGGUUAAGAUCUGACAUUGUGUGAAAUUGUUGAAAUUUGUGCUGUGAAUUGGAACCGUCAGAUCAUGGAUUGAUGACUGAGAUUUGCUACUGCGGCAAACUGUGUGAAUUUGCUACAACAACAAAUCCUGAUCCCAUUACCCGCAUCCAAUGAUAUCACAUCAUGUAAUAUUUGUGAUGGUAUUUAUAUAACACAUAUUAAAAGUAGAUCACUCUAUCAAAUGUAUUUCAAAUUAACAACAAUCAAUAGUAACUUUUUCAUGGUAUAUAAACAAUCAAGAGGGAUUCAGUCAAGAGGGAUUCAGACACCUUAAACAAGUUGUCAAAAGUUUGUUUUUUGACUUUUACGCAUAGAGAAAACUUAUUUGUAAACAAAGAAAUUCAACUUUUUAUAUUUAGAGUAGUGAUAUUUGAACAACCAUUUUAGACAACUUUUGAUACAACUUCUUUUUUCUCAUUUUUCAUUGGUCAAAGACAAUGGAGAGAGAAAAAAAAAAAAAGAGAAUAAAAACAUAAUGUGAGUAUGAGAGAGAAAUUUGUCUAAGAAAUUGUUACAAAGUGGAUGUACAAAUAUCAUAUUUCUCUUAUAUUUAAUAUAAUCUUGAAGAAGAUUAGUCACUUGUAAAAGACAAUCCAUACCUCACACCAAUAACAUGGUUAUUAAAGUUUUUUUUUUUUUUAGCAUGAGUCGUUAAUAACGUCGAAACAUAAUUAAUAAUUUAUUUCUAGACAAAUUCAUUUAGAAAAGUAUUGUUUUCUAGAAUACCUCCAUAUUCUAAUUCUCACAAAAUUAUAUAAUUCAUAAACGUAAAAAGUCCAAAAUUAUUGUCAGCAAAACCAUCAAAUUAAUCAAAGGUAUAACACGUUUAGUUGAAAUAUGAGACCUUCAAGUAAAUGAACUUCUAGAUUUAGUUAUAAUCAGUAGUAGAAAUAGAACCAACAAAACGGCAAAUUGAUCCACUAAGUUCAAAUUUCAAAUUAAUAUGUCGGUGAAGUAUAGUUUUAUGUUAAUUUGGCCUGCAAAUUUGAUGAUUUUUAAUGCUAUUCUUUAUUCAUGAGUAACCAUUAUUUUCUAAGUCAUGACGCGUAUUUUAGGGGCAAAGGUAACAAAAUUCAAGAGUUUAUAAUAUUUUAAAAAUAUGUUUAGUGAAAAGACUCAAAGCAAAGAAAGGUAUAAGACUCAAAGCAUUGCAAAGGUGCUUGAUAUGAAUCUGGAUUCCAUGUUACAGUUAUAGAUUCCUCACCAUUCACCUAGUCAGCUUUAAGAAGUCAAACAAAUAUAAAUAUACUAAAAUUGACAUUAGAAGAAUCGAACAUGAGAUCUUAAAAGAGACACGUUUAAAGAUCUCAAGUCAACACCAUCAGAUCAACCUAAGUGGAAUUUUUUUAGUAAAAAACUACAUUGAAAGUAUUAAAUAAAAUUUGUGUUGGUGCCUAACUCAAUUGUAAACCUGCUUCUAAAGUUAAAAUUGCACUCACUUAUAAGCUUUUAUUCUGUCUAGACUGACCUAAUAGCAGGUGACAUAAUAAAUAUUAGAUAGACUUUGAUAAUUAUUAAUUUUUUUAUGCUGGGUCUAACUUAUUUUUACAAAACCAACUUAUAAGAUGAGAGUUAAAAUUGCACCCACUUAUAAACUUAUGUUUAAGUCUUAUGUCAUCCAAUGUGGAACUUAUGACAGAAAUUUAGAUCGUCUGAUUUCUAUCCAACAACGACCUAAGUAAGCAUUGUAGAAAUAUGUGAGAUCCUUAGCUGAAGAUAACUUAAAUAUGUUAAAUAUUAUCAACCAACAAGAUCUUCAUAUUAUCAAUGAAAGUCAAACUCGAAUAUUCGUAAAUUCUGAGUUGAAUUCUUACCAACAACCAACUUACUUUGUAAAAUUAAUUUAUAAAUUAAUUUGAUUAUUCUAGUUUAAUUUGUAUGGAUUUUGAUGUAGUUUUUGUGGACAGGUUUUUUUUCAUAGAAUCCUCUUGUGAACGGGUUUUUUUCACCGCUUAUUUCUCAAUGUGAAUACAAACAAAUGUUCAUAUUUCCAUGUAUAUAUUAUAAUAUUAAUUCAAUGUAUCUGCAUAUUUUUCUUUUGUAUCCUUGGAGCCAUCUUUUUCCAUUGCAAUGUUUGUUACAUCACAUGAUACACAUUCUUAAUAUUUGCAUAAAAAACGGCUAUGUGAAAUGGCAAAAGUGAUUUGAAAAUUUUAGUACUACACUCAUACUACACUAGUUUUGGACAAUUGUUGCAUCUUACAAUUGGAUUAGUCUUAGUAUAAUGUAUUUAUGAAUGUUUGGUAAGGGUGAUUUAAAAGUAGGAAAAAAAAUGGAAAUAGAAAUUUUCAAUGAGAAUGGAUGAAAAAUGUAAUCAAAAUAUUAUAUUUAUUUACUUUGAAAUUUGUGGAAUUCAAAUAAAAAAUAACAAAACUAAUAAAAAAUGUAAGCCCAUGGUUUGGUACAAGAAAGUAGUAGAGCAUGCUUGAAAUAUUUCAAACACCUUCUAUUCAUGUAAGUCCAUGUUGUGAUUUCAUAAGUGUCCUAAUCAACAUUUUCAAAAAUGUUGUGUGGCCACAAGAGUUGCUGCAAUGUCAAGAUUUUCUUUAUGUGUUUGCAACUGAAUCACAACCUUAAUUUUUAGCAACAUUGAUUAUAUUUUAACCUAAUUUUCCACAACAUCAAAGAUUGCGACUGCAAUUUAAAAUCUUAUUCAUGAUAUAUUGUAUGUCUUAAAAGUCCUCAAGGAAUGGUAUAUUGGUGUGACAUCUGAGGCCGGCGAGGAUAAGGUGCACAAGAUAUGACCAAUGAGCGGUUUCUGGAAGCUUUGAAUCGAAAAUGAUACAUCGAUGAAUCAAAUUCACAUCAGAAUGAGAGAGAUCAUGAGAGUUGCGUAAGUAUGAAAUUGCAUAUUUGAAUGAAGAUUUACAAACAAUUGUUUGGUAUUAACUACACAAACAAGAUGCAUCGUCUUUUUGCUAAUAUAUACUAUAAGAUCUCCAUAGUUAAACAUGCUUGACUUAGAGCAAUUUGAGAUGAAUAAUAUUUUGGAUUGUCCAGAAAACGUGUGAGUUAGGACAAAACACACUAAAAAGACUCGAGUUGGUUUAUGUGGUCAGUUGACAAUACUUAAAGUCGUUUUAGGCGUUACAGUCGGUAGCUUCGAACCUCAAAGUGUGCUUCUCUACAGGUUUUCGAAUCCCUCUGGUACUAACAAUUAUUGUCUUAGGCUAAUCUAUACAAAAUUUUGAUCUAACUUCAAUUGAUCCUAUGAUCCAACCAGUGGAUGAUAGAGUUGGUUCUUAUGAACGAAUAAUAAAGUUUAAAAGAAAAUUGCAUGUCUUAAAUCUAUGUCAUUGUCAAGGACCCAAGAUCAAUAAGUGUUUGCAUGUUUUAAGAGCUACAUGAGAAUUUCAUGAAUUCUCAACAGCUUAUUUUUUCUCUUUUAGAUUAAUGUUGCUUGUGCAUAUCAGCUUUGGCAUAAUGCUUAAAGUUUGUUAGUCUAUGAUGUCACCACUCUAACUUUUGGGCCCCACCAUAGUAGUUAAGUGCUUGUCCCCCUUUUUUAACAUGCAUUUUGACACAUGAAUGGAUGAAUGAUGAUGGUAGUUAACAAUUUGGAUUAGUUUGAUAGUGCUGACUUGAAAUCUUGAAGUGUGUUCCGUUUAAGGUUUCAGGUUCAAUUGUCUUGGUAUCAAUUUUGGUGAAUUAGUUUGACUCUUUAAAAAAAAAAUGUUUUAUUAAAAGAUAAGUUAAUAAUAUAGCUCAUUCACUAGCUCAAAACAACAAUAUUGUUAUAUAUCGGUUACGUCUUUGAUUAUACUUCAUCCUAUAUUUUAGGAUAUUUUGAUGAAUGAGAUGAGUUAAGUUUGUGAUUUAAAAAAAAAAACUAUAUGCAAUAAAGUUAUUGUGUUAGGUAAAGUUCAGAUUAACCGGUACAUGUAUUUAACAAAUUAAAAAUUGCCGAAACAUGUAAAUUGCCUUCAAUUUAGAUCAUAUUAUAUGAUCUCAAUUCAAAUAUAAAAGCUUUCAUGCCAAACAUGCCAAGUUUUGUAGGCUAGCUUUUCAAUUCAAAUACGAAAGCUUUCAUGCCAAACAUGUCCAAUUGUUUCCACACUUCAAUCAUGUCUUUAUUCUAAUUUGGAGAACAAUUUAAAACAACCCACUAUGGAUUUCAAACUUAAAUUAGAAAUUUAGAAUCAUAGGACACUAAACCAAAGUUUUUGCUCAUCCAUACUUUUGUAUCAUGAUACCUUCAUCAUGAGGAAACAAUUUGUACUUUCUCAAUGUCAAUGUCAUCCCCACUAAUAAGAAUUGGAACAAAGUUCUUUAGUGGGGCAAAUAUAAAAUUUUACUUAAUCAUAAAUACUAUAUUGAAAAGUAUAAAUAAAAAAAAAAAAAAGUAAUCUAACAUUUCUCUUUUCUAAUGGAGAUUUGGACAUGAGGAUGUGACUUGAAAAGUUUUAUAAGUGUGUGUUUGAUUUUAUCGUGUCUGAAAUCGUUUUUGUAAAAUUAUUUUUAGUCUAAUGUAAGUUUAGAGUAAAACGAUUUAUGUUUAAAUUUGUUUAAGUAAAAGUGAAUUGAAUAAUAAAUUUAACAUGAGAACCAUCUUUAGAUGAAAACCUAUAAAUCUUAAUUUAAAGGUGAAAUCAAUUAUAAUGAGAAUCUUCUAACAUACAAAAAUCAAUAUUAGGUUUCGAGAAUCACUUUUGCCUCUCCCAAAAAAGAAAUACUUACAUGGAUUUGUCUAAUGUACACAUAAGCAAAACUCUUGCAUUAUACACCAUUUUGCUUUUCACCGUUAAACCAAUAAGCUUUAUCAUAUCUUAUUUGAUUCAAUAGGAUGACUUAUAGAUUCAUUGGCGAAAACAACUUUAUGCACGAUCCAAGAUUUGUCUUACUUCUUUAUCAUAGAAUUGGCCCUUAAACAUGUGUAUUAUAUAUAUUUUUUUAUCUCUAAUUGAGGAUGAGCAGUAAAGUUAUAAUUGAAUAACAUAGAUGAAAGGAUACAUGCGCAAAUAUUUCAUAGAUACCAAAAGAUCAUGUCACUCUUAUUGAUUUACAAAAAGAUUACAAAUUAUAUAUGUUCAUAAAUAGAUUCUUUGAACCUCAUGACACAAAUCACAUUAAUCAAUUUGUUAGACCAAAAAAAUAUGUAUACAGAAACACAAUAACACUAUUCAUCUAACCAUAAAACAAAAAAAAAAUAAUAACAAACUUAAUAAGAUCUUUUAAGAUUCUUGAAAUCUGAAUCAACACAAUCUUCCAAUUCAGCCCUAUAAGGAUUCAUCAAUUUGAGAAGUUCAGUUGCUUUAUCUUUUGUCUCAUCACUACAACCAACUUGCAAUACCAAUAAUAGCUUUUGAAAAGCACCAACUUGAAGUGCUUCAAUUAAAGCUUUUCCUUCAUAAUUUUUGUGACCAUAUUUGCACAUCUUCCAUAUAGAAGAAACUGAAUAUUCUGUAGUCAAAGGUGAAACUCUAAAGAUUUUUUUGACCAACAAAGGAAUUGUUAAGUCAUUUUCAUAAGCUGUUUCUCUUGCAAAGUCACAGCUUAAUAGAGAAUCCAAAAUAGUUAAAGCCUUCUCACAAAUGCUUUUUUCAGAGUCAAUAAGAAUGUGUAAAAUUGAAGAAACCAAACCCAAUUCAACAAAUGAGAAUUUCAUUUUUUCAUUGAAAUUUGAAUUGGAUGAAACUAAGUACCAAAUUAUCCUCAAUGAAGAUUUUGUAAUUAUUGGACUAAUUCUCUUGUUAAUGAACUCAAUUAAAAGCUCAUUAACUCCUUCAAUUUCCAUAAGUGCUUCUACAUGUUUCUCAUCACCAAAUGAAAGAAUCUCUUUCAAUGCAAUAAUAGCUUUUUCUUUUCCCUUAACAUCUUGAUGCUUCAAAAACCAAAUCAUGCAAUGUAAAGAAGCUUUUGAACCUAAAGAUUUUUGAGCUUCUAAUUGAAGUGGAAACAUCCAAUUAAGUGCUGAUAAAAUCACUUCAAGAACAAUAACAUUUUUCUCAAUAGAAUCAUUAGCAAAAGCAUCAAAUGCUAAAGCUAAUGCACUAGUUGCUCCAUUUUCAACUAUGCAUUUUUUGUUCCUCUCACUUUCAUUACUCCAUUUCUCCAUUUUUUGAACCAAUCCAAUACAACCAUAUUGAUCCAAACCUUUUGCUGAUUCUUUAACUUGAAAAAGAAGCUCGGAAACAUCGAUCGGACUAAUUGGUAUUCUAGGAGUUGGAAUCCUCUCAACACCAUUUUGUCUAUUUUCAACACACCAAUCUUGAAUCAUUAUCCUAAGAGAAUGAUUUGGAAUCAUGUCAAAGUUUCUCACUACUUGAUUUGUGAGAGGACAUGUAUAGUUUCCUUCAUUGAACCAUCUUUCAACACUCUCUCUAUCAUAGGUUAUUCCUGUUGACAAUGUCACAGGAUCUUUCAUCAAAUCAAGAGUUAUAGGACACCUAAAUUGAUUUGGAACCACUACCUCCAUGUUUGGUUUUCCACCUUUGUUGUUUUUUGUUGUUCUUCCUUCUUCCCCAACCUAACACCAUCUUAAACACUUUUGUAAGAGAAAUUAACAACCUUACUUGAACAGGAUCUGUUCUAUAGGAUCGUACUACUGUGUCCUUGAUUUCUAAGGAGACAGAAACAAAAAAAAUAUAUUAUCAAAGAAACCAAAAAGAAGCUAUAUUUGUUAUUGAUCAAGUUUGAAACUUUGAUAGAAAAUAUUGAUGGGUUUUCAAUUUGCUAGGUUUAUGUAUAUAUAUAUGUAGACAAAAAUGAAGGUAUUUUUGUUUUUAGGAUGCUUUUUUCUGUUGAUCAAGUUUGAAUCUUUGGUUGAGAAUAUUAAUGGAUUUUGCAAGUGGGUAUGUUCAUGUAUUUAUAUAUAGAAAUAGUCUAUAGUAUGUAUAUAUAUAAAGACAAAAAAAAAACACAAAAGAAACACGUAAAAUAAUAUAUUUUAAUGUGUCAUGUGUUUAUGAGGUUUUUGUUACUAUUGACUUGUAGGGUCAAUAACUCAAUAUUGUUUUCAUACAAAGAGAGUUUCAACUUCAAAGGUUGGACCCUAUAAGGAAUUAUUCUAAUGAGAAACAUUCAAAAUUGAAGAGAGAGAAUGAUGUUUGUAUAGUUUUGUAUAAAAGAGGAGUUAUGAUUUGAAUAUUGACCAUUGAAGAUUUUUGAGGAAAAUUGAGAACACCUCUAGCAGUCAAAGGGAGGAAUUGGUAAACAUCAGAUGGCUUAAGGUAAUUGUAAUGGACGUUUGGGAUUUUGAUGAGGUAUAUUCAACACAUCUCCACCGUUGAGUUGAGAUUUGAUUAAGAUUGGUUUAUUUUGUAUGUCGAAAUUUAUUUAUCUUAAAUAUAAUUUGGUAAACUCGAAAUAUAAGUCAUUUAAAACAUUAUUAAUUUAGUGUUUGAAAUUAUUAAUAUUUAAAAUGGGUAAAUACCUCUUUUCGUCUCUGUAAUAUUAGCGAAUUCUGGUUUUAGUCCAUGUAGAAAAAAAGAUUUAGAUUUUGUCCCUGUAAUUUUAUAUUCUUCCACUUUUGGUCCCUCAUUCCACCACGUAAGCAGAAUCUGUAUACAUGGCACGUAAAAUGAGGGACCAAAAGUGGAGGAAUCUGAAAUUACAGGGACCAAAACUGGGAGGAAUAUGAAAUUACAGGGACGUAUUUAUGCAUAUUAUGACUUGAUGAAAGGAGAGACCAAAAGUGGAAGAAUAUGAAAUUGCAGGAACAACAUCUAAAUCUUUGUUUUUACAGGGACUAAAAUCGGAAUUCGCUAAUAUUACAGGGACGAAAAGAGGUAUUUAUCAUUUAAAAAUUGAAGUUUUUUUUUUUUUUUUUAUUAAACAAAAUUGAAGAACUUACAUUUUGUGUGCGUGUGUGUGUUAUGUGUUUAUUCUUACAUUAUAGAGUCAAAAUUGAUUUCAAACACAAUAAAUUUUGAUUGAGUGAUGUCAUUUGAAAUGAAAUUAUAGAGUCAAAAUUGAUUUCAAACACAAUAAAUUUUGAUUGAGUGAUGUCAUUUGAAAUGAAAUUUAUCUCUAGAAUUAAUUCUUGAAACUUUUUUCAAAGAAAAUUUAUACCAGUUAAAAUUUGUAUCUUUUCACGCACAUGUAAACUUUAUAUUUAAAUUUACAAUUUAACUUAUUUUGACAUGAAUAUGUCACAUUCGACUCACUUUUAACAAAAAAAAAAAGGUAAAUUUAUAAAUCAAUUCACUUAAAUUAAAUUUGGUCAAUGCAAAGAAGACUAAACACAAUAUUUAUUUCUUUUUAUCAAUUAAUUUAGUCAUUUACAUUUUCUAACAAGGUAUAAUAUAAUUUAAAAAUCAAUUGAAAAUAUUUUUAAAAUUCAUUAGCUCUAGAAACUAAAUCAAUCGUACUCUAUGCUUUUAGAGACUAAAAUCAUAAAAAUGAGGGAUACAUUUAUUCUAAGAGUACCUUUUGUUUUUGGUCCUUAAAUGGUCACUUUAUAUUUAUGUGAAUGUCAAGGUUAUAACUCUUUUAUGUUUAAAUUGUAUUCAAGUUAUAUCCGUUUAUUAUGUUCAACAUUUAUAUAUUUAUAUUAUGUUCAGAAAAUGUCAAAAAUAUGUCAAAAUAAUAUCCAUUUGAGACCAAAAAUAAAACAAUUUUUUUUUUGUUGAGGGUGAAAGCAUCUCAUUUUAUUUUUUGGGGGCUAUAAUCAAAAUUUGAUAUAUUUAUAGGAAGAAAACUUAUUUAACCCUUACAUAAAUUAGAAUGUGGGAAUUUAAUUUAUCUUUGUUAGAAACAUGGUGUUAGAGGUCGUAUGCGGGUCAUAAUAGUUUGUGAUAUAUAACGUGUUAUUGGUGAGAUAUGGGGCAGAAGGAGAGCGUGUGAGGGAUGGUUGGCGAUCUGUGUUAGUAUGGUGGAGGCACUCGGCGGGCAUCCUCCGAGGGGAGGGAUUAGUAAUGUAUAGGUGUUUUGAUGAUAAUUUGGUGAGGUUGGUGGGUGAUGUAACCAAAACGUUUUUUUUUCUUCGAAUGUGCGGGGGGCGGGGGGGUGGUUGGUUAUAGUUGUUGACAUGUAUGUUUAGAUUCGUGGUUAGGUAGAGAGGUUUGGAAAUGGUCGCUUCAAUUAUUUUCUUAGGAGGAGGAGAUGUUGGGGAGUGUAGUAACCUUUUAGCUAACACUUAUUAGUGUGGAAGAUAGGUGGAGUUGUCAGCGCUGAUAAAUGUUACAUUGUCAAUGGGGUUUAUCAUAUGUCGAUGGUGGUACAGUCGAGUAAUCGAGAUGACUCUCAGAAAAUCAAAGUGAAAUAUAAUUUUAGGGACCAAAAUAAAACAAAAAUAGCUUAAAAAACCAAAGUGAGACCUAAAAUUAACUUAAGGAACCAAAAAUAUAAUUUAACCAUUUUUAAUGACAAAUAUAUAUUAUAAAAAGAAUAAAUCUCCGGUAAGUGUACAACAAAUUAUAUAAAUUAGAGUACAAGAAGUACUCAAGUCAAGCGAUAAUAAAAUGAAAGAAUCCCUCCCACAUAAACACAAGAGUGAAAACUAAAACACCAACAAAAAACCAUCUAAAUUUCCAUCAGGAACACUCAACCACAACCGAACAAGAUGAAGACUAAGAACAAAACCCCUCAAUCAACCAAUCUCAAGAUAAAUCUGCCACAAGUCCCUAACGGUGUCAACAUAAAAUGAGUUCAUGAUCCCACUCAUAAAAGACAAGUGUGAUCAUAAUAUUUUUCUAAAAACCAUUUCUAAAUAGUGAAUUUAACCCUAUCCAUCAAUCGGAGCACAUACGUCUCCUUCACUAAAAAGAUGUGAGCGUUUUGUUUUUUGUUUUGAAAAUUUAACAUUUGUAUAGUGAAAUAUAAUGUUUAUAAAGAGCUAUUAAGCAAAAUAAUUCUAUCUAGAAGAUUUACUCUAUUUUUUUAAUCAAAAUCUAGAAUUACUCUCUGAAUUAGUUGAUCUCUCCUCAAAUCCUUGAAGUAAUAAUGGUAAGGUAUUUUAACCUCCCACAACCCCAAAUCAGAAGGUUAGUUUGAAACUGUCUAUGGUAGUGCUUUUGGGGGUAGACUUGGUGACACACGCUUUGCACCAUGGAGUCAUGGACCACACGCCAACACAUUUUUAUUCCUUAAAUAAAAAAAAAACUACUACUUUUUUUAGGGAAAAAAAAAACCACUACUUAUAUUAUAUCUAUGCAUGUGUUAUUAGUGUGUCAUGUUGACUUUUUGGUCCUCUUUGAGGUUUUUUAAUUCUUAACAACCUUAACAUAGACAGCUAGCCUCAUUAACUAAUGGAAACAUAUUUAAUAUAUUUGGUUUUAAUUUUUCAUGUGCCUCUUUCAGACAAAAAUAACUCUUUAUUCACUUCAGAACUUAUUCUCUCUAGUUGUUAUUAUAAACAAAACUCUACUUUUUAGAUAUAUUGAAUAAUUAAUGUAUCUAAUCUUUAUUAUAGACUGAAUACAUUAAUUAUUCAAUAUAUAUAAAAAGUGGAGUUUUUCUUAUAAUAGUGACCGGAGGGAGUACUAUAAAUGAUAUAAUCGGUUGAAAUCGAGGCUUAACUCAUUUUUAUAAAAUCGAUCUUAUCUAUUCGAUGUGGGGGCAGUAUUCUUAGGCUUGGUGUGUGUAUAUAAGUGGUGGGUACCCUGAUCAAUGAACUCUAAUAGCAUGCUAUGAUAUCAUCUUAAAAAUUAUGGAUGAGUCUAAUACAACUCUACAAAGUCGACUUAUAAGGUGAGAAAUGUCUUCUCUUUAUAAACUCUCACAAAAAAAUGUUAUCUAUUGAAUGUGGGGUUAGGGUUUUUCCUAAUAUAAUCUGAUUGUUGUUUCUUCAUGGAAAUAUCAUCUGAUGGUAAAGACUUGGAAUAACAGAUAUUUCCAGCUGAAUAAUUGACCAAACAAAAGAAACAAAUUGAAUGUGGAGGAAUUAGUCGACACCUUUGAUGAUUGGUUAUCAUCAUAAUCUAUUUGAAUAUACAGAAUUUUAAGAAAUCGUACGUGGAAAUUAUUCUGUUAUAUAUUCUUUCUUUGAUGUGAGACUUUUGUGAAUAAGUUAAAUAUUCUAAAAUGCUCAAUAUGAACGAAGCUUGGAUUUAGGAUUAACUAAUGAAGUCGGUGGAAUACGCGGGAAACGUAUACAAAUUUUUUAGAGAAAAUAUUAAUAGGUGCCCUAAUUUUAAGGAUUUGUUAAAAAGUUUAAAGAAAAAAAUUUAUAUUGAAAUUUGGAUAUGAGUACUUUUAUACAACACGAACAACUUAACACGCGAAAGCCACACGACAUGUAUAACAACAUGCAAUUUUGUAUUUUAUGGAGUAUAUAUUAAUAAAACAAUUAUAUCAAAGAAAUACUUUCUUAACCCCAUAUUAUUUGACAUGGUUGACUCUAUCACAUAUAUCAAGACAUAAUUUUAAUCUUAAAUAUUUUUAAUAAUAUAUUAAAAAAAAUUAUAAAAAUUUGAUAUUCUGAAAAUAUUCAUCAGACGAAUCCAACAUCUUAUAUACUACAAUUUGUCUUUGUAUAUUAGUAAAAAAAAUAUGAUCAAAACAUGUUAUAUGAAAAUGCACAUUUUUGAAAUAAGUCAGUUAAAAUGGAACGGAGGGACUAACAUCAUAAUCCACUUUUCCUUUGUUAAUGGUGAGGUAAGAACACGGUACAAAAGUUGAUUUGGAGAAACACCAUGGAAUGAGGUGUUUUUGUCAUUCUGUGCAAAUCAAAAUCAAGAGAAAAAUCUGAAUGGCAUUAUAAACUUGUUCGUAUAAUUUUGACAACAUAUUGUUGUGCUUUUCAGCAUUUUCCUUUGUAUAUUUAACACGUUAACACUUUAAAAAGCUUUUUUUUUUGUAUAUUAAAUAUAUACGUUAUUUUUUUUUAUCCUUAACAAUGUCUGUUUUAGCGUCAAAAUGUACGGUGAGAUUUAAAGGAGACACACCUCUUGAACAAUAUUUUAUUUCUUGAACCUCAAAUUUCUUACUUAUUAGUUUCAAAGAGUAAAAUUUUAGCUAUCAUAGACUAUUUGAUAAAAAAAAAUAUUACGUUAAAACAAAUAUAAAUUAUAUUUUUAAAGAGGUGUUUAGGUUAUAAAUUUAAUUUGUGAUUUGAGAACUUUGAUGUCUAUUUUAAGUUUGACAUACUAUUUUUUUAGGUUAUAAUAUAUAGACACACACUCCUAAGAAUCCUAAAAACAAUAAACAAUCGGUGCAGAAAUGUUUCAUUCUACUAUCACUUUUUUAUUUUUUAGGAUUCUUAAGUGAUCAGUGGACAUCUUUUUUGUUUCAUUUUAGUGUCAUAACAUAAUCAUCAGUGUCAGUGUUCAAUAUAUUUUGUUGAUCAGUGGACAUCAUUUAUUAUAAAUUCUAGUGUCACUUUUUCUUUCAACAUUUUAUGUGUUUCUAUAGGACGGAAGACAAUCUUAGAACGGAUCCUCUAGUGAUAUGUAUCAUCAUGAUAUAGGAAGGUUUAAUAAGUCUAGUGACUAGGAAACUUGGUGAUGAUUGAAAUUGGUGAUGAUUAAUGAUACUUUGUCAUAUUGUUUUAUUUUACUCAUUUUAAUGUCUUUUAAUAAAGUUUUAGGGAGUUUUAGACUGUUUGGAUGUUGGAAUAGUACAAGAAAAUCAAACUUUGAAGCUUAGAAAUCGUGUUACGAUUUAUGGAGAUCGUGACACGAUUUUGGGACUAACUCGAGGAUUCCAAUUCACAAGACAAUCAUGGCACGAUCUGGAGCAUCAUGGCGCAAUUUUGCAUUGAAGAUGCUUGCUAUGUAGGAUAAGUGAAGAAUCGCACCAUGAUCUAUGAGAAUCGUGGCACGAUUUGUCGGAACGAGAUUUGGGGUUCAAUUUUUGGAGAUUUUAAAGAUGAUUUUGCAUCUCCAAACUUGAGGAAUUCAUAGUGAUUCACCAUUCAACUCAUAAUUGGUCCUUAUUGCAUGUAAUGUAUUCAAACUUAUUAGUUGUUAUGUUUUAGCCAUGAGGAACUAAUUUACCAUUGAUUAGGUCUUGGAUGAAUCGAUUACAAUUGUUUGAACCAUGUAAUUUUGAAACUCUAUUCAAUUCAAUUACAAUCCCAGUCUUUAUUCAGUAUAUUUAUUCUCGAUGGCUUUUAUAUAUUGAAAAUAUAUGAAUUCAUCAAAACUUAGAGAUUAGGGGGUUGUAAUUAGAGAAUAGGGUUUUGAAUCAAGAGAUUGAUCAAAACUAUUUUGUUAAUUCAUUGUUAAACUAGGAGAAUAAUUGUAUAGAAAAUGUGCAAUUUACCGAACAGGAAAUAGAGGAUUUGAAUCUCUGAUCAUUUUCCACUAGAAAUAUCUACCAAGUUAUUUAUAUUUUCACAAUUAUGAUUGUGAAACAAAUUUAUAUGUUUGUUGAUAGAGUAGUGAUAUAUGAACAACUCUUUGGUAUAACUUUCAUGACAACUUUAGUUUUCUAUCUUUUGAUUGGUCAAAAAUAAUAGAGAGGGAAAAAGAAAGAGAGAAAAUAAGAAAAUAAUGUGAGUAUGAGAGAAGAAAAUUGUACAAAAAGUUGUUAAAAAAUGGUUGUACAAAUAUCAUUUCUCUUGUUGAUAACAAUGUUUGCCUAAAAGAAAUUAGAGUAAAUUACACUCCACUCCGCUCAGAGAUGCUUGAAUUACACUCAUCUCCUCUCUUAUGUUAGAAUAUACAUUUUUCUCCCUUCUUAUUCAAAAUAUAUUAAAAAAUAUUUCACUCCCCUCCCUUGAGAGAAACUAGAAAUUAAAGCAAUUCUUGAGGAGACAAAUUAUUAUAUUACUCUGACACAUUUUUAUUACAUUUGCUAAAAUUUCAUCAUUUCUAAAUGACUUAAGGGGACAACUCGAUUGUUGAGAGCUACCACACAAUCCUUAAUAAUUUUUGUAUGUCGCAUUGGAGAAUCUCAGGGGAGUUGAGUGAGCAUAUGAGAAUGUUAAUGACCACCUCCGUUGGAGUAUAGUGUUACAUUCCUCGCCAAAUAUUUGGAGCAGUGGGUAUCAUACAAGUUAGAAUUAUCCCACAAAUAUGUAUUUCUUCCGGCCACAUUUAUAAGUAAAUUUUACUUUUUUUAGAUUCAUUGAAUAGUUGAUGUAUCUGAACUAUGAUAUAGUCCAAAUAUAACACUUAUUAAAUGAAUGUGAAAAGAAAAUAUUUGCUUAUAAAUAUGAUAGGAUGAAGUAUGCAUCAAAGUGUUGAAUUGUCAUAUGACUGCAUUUGUUUAAUGUGAUGUGGUAAGUGUCUGGGUUGGUAGUGUGUCACAGCACAAAGACUUCAUAGACUUGUGCAUUGAAGAAAUAGAAUUAUACGGUUCAAAGCGUGAUUCACGUUAAACACAUGCAUGUCUCUCACAAUUCAACAAGAUGAAGAAGAUUUUAAUCAACAUUUUGAUAUAAUUUUCGAUGACAUGAACGUGGUAGCUAAGCAAAUUUAUUUAUUCGUUAGGCCCUCUCUAUUUGUACUAUUUUUCCUCCUUUUGCAGGUUAAGUGCACCUUGCACUAACCUUACCUAAUAAUAUUUGUCGUUUAAAAAAAACAAUAAUAAUAAUGGUUUUUAUUUUAGUAAUUCUUAUAAACGUCGAAUGUCUCAUGAUGCUGUAUAUAGUCAAGUACACAUAUAGUUAAUCAUUCACCAACUUUGCAUCACAUGUUGGAGCCACUUGAGGAAAGUAUGACAUGUAAAUAUAUAAAGUUAACUCCUGGACACAUGUCACUUUGUCAUUGGCUCUGAGUUUUUUUUUUUUUUACAAAAAAAAUAAUUAUUUUUUUUAAAAUAUAUAUAUUUAAAAAAAAAAUCCCAAAGCCAAUGACAACGUGACACGUGUCCCAGAGUUAACACGUGUCACCUUGUCAUUGGUUCUAGGAAUUUUUUACAAAAAAAUAAUAUAUAUAUAUUAAAAAAUAUUUAUUUUUUUGUAAAAAAAAAAAACUCAGAGCCAAUGACAAGGUGACACGUGUCCACACUUAACGUUUUUUUAUUAAAACUAACGGAAACCUAACAGAAGGGACCAAAACGAGACUAAAAAAAAAACUUAAAAUCCUCAAAGAAUCUUUUUUUAGUUAAGGGACCAAAGCGAUACCAAUUAAAUAGUUAAGGGACCAAAAGAGCAUUUAAGCCUAAUUAUUAUUAGGUCAAAUGUAUCUAAAGGUCCUUUAAGUUUUUCAUUUUUCACAAAGUGGUCCUCUAAGUUUCAAAGGUCUCAAACAAGUCCUUUUAGUUUUUGAAUCGUUUCAAAAAACUUCUAUUGUAGAUAGCAUAGUUGGUAAUUGCUUCCUUGAACUCAUCUUUGGUACCAAAUCUGGCUCCUAACACUCACUUAAAAUUAGUCAUCUUUUUAGGCAUGACAAAUGGUGGAUAAUGUUCUUUGUUGCUAUCAUCUGAAUCAUCACCAUCAUCCUCUAAAAGGACUUGUUUGAAACGAUUCAAAAACUAAAAGGACUUGUUUGAGACUUUUGAAACUUAAAGGAUCACUUUGGGACUUUUGAAACUUAAAGGACGACUUUGGGAAAAACGAAAAACUUAAAGGACCUUUAGAUGCAUUUGACCUUAUUAUUAUUAUAAACAAAUUAACCUAUUCAAAAAAUGGGAAAUUUAUUUUCAAGUUUAAUCAUUGUAAACAGAUUAACCUAAUUGAAUCUUAAAUAGAUAUCAUGACAUCUUUAUAAACAAUAUAUUAAGGUUGAAUUGAGUCAAAAAAACAAAAUAAGGAUGAAUUUGGUAUGAAAAGUAGUGCUAUGUGAACAUUCAAUAUAAAUAUUUUUUUUUCAACACUCGUUUUUUAAUUCGAUAAAAUUCAUACGGAGCCCAUUAUCUUACGAUUUCUGUUCACCACUUUAAAAAAUGAAUUUUGAAAGACUAAUUUAAUAACAAUUUUAGAAAAAUAUUGUGGUGACAUUUUAUAUCUUAAGUAUAAAUUUAAUGACUAAAUACUUUAUACAUCUUAAGGAUAAAUUUAAUGAUUAAAUACUUUAUAAUACUUUAGCUAAUGAUAAAAUACAUAUACCUACUCUAAAAAUCAGCUUGAAAGUUUAGACGAUUAAAAAAAUAUGAUUAAAAUAUUUUUUUAGACGAAUAUAGAGAAAAUUAGAGCCUGUUUGAAACACUUCUGAAAAACUCUUUUUUAGUUUUCAAAAAUUUGAAAAUUAAAAACUUUUUUGCUAAACUAUUUUAAAAAUUUACAGUUUUAAAUUUUUUAGUUUUGAGGACUAAAACUAAAACAUGUAAAAUGAUAAAUAUUGCGAGAAGAAGAUUUUUAUAUUUCAAAAACUGAAAACAAAAACUAUUUCAAAGAGGCUCUUAGUCUCUAAACUAUCACUUUCUCGUCAAUUUCAUCUUUAAACAAUUUAAAUAAUCAACUAAAAUAUCUUUAAAUUAUGAAAAAUAGAUCAAUCUAGCCACUAAAUUAUCAUAAGAAAACAACCAAUUUUAUUAAUUGAGUGACUAAAUUGUUGGAUGAAACAAUAGUUUAUGGACAUUCUAGUUGAUUUUAAUAAUCUAAGGACUAAAUUGAUGAGAGAGUGGUAAUUUAAAAACUAAACUGAUUUUUUAUUCAUUUUUAGUCCAUGUAAAUAGAAAAAUGUUCAUUUUUUGUCCCCCGGUCUUUUCGUCGAAAAUGAAUUUCAUAAAUUAAAAAUUUUGAGGAAAUAAUAUGGAGAUCUUGACCAUUUAUUUUCACAUUAUCAAUGGUUAAGGUGACUAUUAACAAAUGAAGAUCAAUGAUUAAGAUGGCCGAAAAUGUGUGACUACGUAAAUGCAGUAUUGGGAAAAACUCAUGUUCCACAUCGGAUAGAUAAGACUCUUGAUAAGAGUUUAUAUAGAGGAGGCAAUCCUCACCUUAAGAACCGAUUUUUAAGAAUGACUUAGGCCUCCAAUUUCAUUAUGCAGCAACGCACCGAUCAAUGUUAAUUCAUGUCAAUUUGUAAAUCAUAUAUCUAUCAAGGCUUAGUCUAUGGGGAAAGAGUGUCUCAUAUCUCUCAUUGUGCAUAAAUAUUAUGCAUUCAAUUAUUACUUGUAUUCCUUGUCUCCUCUCUUUCACACUUUCAAAGAGUAUUUGUGUUUUAGAGUAGAUAAUCCAUUUACAGAAAAUGGAAUUGUCUAUUCAUGUCCAUUUUUAAGAAUGACUUAGGCCUCCAAUUUCAUUAUGCAGCAACGCACCGAUCAAUGUUAAUUCAUGUCCAUUUGUAAAUCAUAUAUCUAUCAAGGCUUAGUCUAUGGGGAAAGAGUGUCUCAUAUCUCUCAUUGUGCAUAAAUAUUCUACAUUCAAUUAUUACUUUUAUUCCUUGUCUCCUCUCUUUCACACUUUCAAAGAGUAUUUGUGUUUUAGAAUAGACAAUCUGUUUACAGAAAAUGGAAUUGGGUAGCUGCCAGCGGUGACUGUUUAGAGUGAGAUCUGAUGUUUCUUGAUAAAGGAAAAUUAGGUGUCACCAAAGAACACACAUACACCAUCAAUCAAAGCCUUGUACUUCCUCCGUCCCAACAUAUAAAUAAAAAUAAAUCAACAUAAAUUAAUGUAUUUUAUACGAACUUUGAAUUAAACACAUUAAUUUUUAUUGACUAAAUUUUACUUAUAUUGUGAGACUGACAAAAUGUUGUAGAAGCUCCGUAAAAUAAAAGAAUUGCAUCUCAAUAUCUCAUCAAGAAAAUCUUAUUCUUUUUUUUUGGUUACUCAAGAAAAUCUUAUUCAAGCAAAGGAAUUCCCACCAAAUUCAAAAUUUUGACGAAAACUAGGAACAUUUUUUUUUUAAUCAAAAUUAGCCUAUUUAAAUUGACACACUGACACUGGGGAAUCAAACUUGAGACGUUAAGAAUGAGCACACUCUCAUGUCCUAAGUCAAUACCUCCAAACCAACUCAUAUGUUAACAAAACAUUUAUAGAGCAACGUUUACAAGUUAAUCUAAAAAAUUGGCUCUCUAAUAUAUAGAGCAACGUUUACACGUAAAAUCUCAAAUAACCUAAAAAACUUAGACAUUUUUGUACAAGUGAAUAGUUCAGAGUAUAUAUAAAGGAAGAUGAAUGAUAGCAACACACAUUUUAACAUACAUUUUGAACAUUCGAAAAUAUAAGAAUUUAUAUUAUAUUGUUGGUGUCAUUUAAAAAAAUAAGUAUAUUUUGUUUUUUGAACAAAAUAAAUAUAGUUUGUUAUAAGAUGAAACUGCAAAAUAUAUAUACAUAUAAUUUGAAUCAAAAUCAAAAAAAUUUAAAAAUUAUUAUUCGUAAUUUAUAUGCAUUAUCAUAAUAAAAGGAGAAAGAUGUGCUAUCUUCACAUUCUUUAGUUUUUUCCUAUGAAAUUUACCUUCUAUUUACUAUCUUCACAUUCUUUACUUUUGUUUCCUAUGAAAUUUACCUUCUAUAUAUUCAUUGUGCAAGGUGUGCUUGGUCUCUGAUUUUGACAUCUUCAAACCAUGCACUUAUAUUAUUAUUAUAAACCAUAGCCCUUUUCAUUCAUAAUAAGCCACCCCUUUUUUAUUUUGUUUUUCCAAGACCAAAGCCUUUGACUUUUUUUUCUUUCUCUUCAACGUAUAUUGCCCGAGUAAAUGAAGAGAAUAAUACCUUUGAAAUUUUUGGAACACAUUGUUUGGAUAUUUUAUUUCAUUGUUUGAAUAUUUUAUGGUAGAAUAAAACUAAUUUUUCACCCUAUUGUUUGAAAAGUGGAUGAAAUAAGAUGUGUAAUAACUUUUUUAUUUCAUUUUCACCUUUUAGUUUAAAAAUAUCAAUUUGUUUAAAAAUUAUUAUAAAAUAAUUGUACAAAUAUCAUUUCUCUAAUUUUAUAUAUGUUGAAUGUCCCAUGAUGAAUACAGUCGAGAAUGCAUAUAGCCAAUCGUUAAUCAACUUUGUACCACAUGUUGUAGCCACUUCAAGCAACUAUGUCAUAUAAUAAAUGUCUGCCAAGGUUGGAACUGUGAAAUUCAUGAGACUUUAAGAAAUGAAUUUUUUAGUUACAAUUAUAAGAAAAAUACCAUGGUGACAUUUUAAUCUAAAGGAAAUAAUUUGUGAUUACAUUUUUAUAUAAUACUUUUAUGAUCAAAUGAGUAACUACUCUAAAGAAUCAACUUGAAAAUUUAGAUGAUUAAAAUGCGACUAGAAUAUAUUUUUAGACCGUGUAAAGUAAGUAGGAAACUGAUCAUUUUUUGUCCCAAUUUUUAAGUUUCGUAUUUUAAUAUUUGUUUACUCUCAAAAAUGUGUUAUAACUUAUAAUCACUCUUCUCCCUUUUGUUAAUUGAAGCGUUAACAUGGAUGACAAAAAGCAAAGAUGAUUCUGAUAUGGCCACAACAAUAAAUCCAACUCGCACACGCACAAAACCACAGAUUAAUCAAUAUUUUCAAUAAUAAUAAUAAUAACAAUAAUUGCUCGAAAAACAAUCCACCACAUGUCAGGUCUUCAAAUAAUUUUCCAAUGUGUGCACUUUUUGGACGGUUUGGUUUGGGCUCGAGAGGAGGAUGCGUGGAAGUGGCGUUUGGAGGACCGGGGGGUGUUCUCGGUGAAAUCUUCUUCCUAUGCUAAGUGGAAGGUUUGUUUUUGUGGGAGGAUCGGUGGAGUGAAGAGGAGAGUGGGGUGUUUAGUAAUAUUUUGAAGGGUCGGGCACAUAGCGUUCUCUUGGAAGCUAUUACUUAACCGUAUUUCGACUAGACAUAAUCUUGCCAUUCGGAAUAUCUUACCUCCGGAUGUCCCGAUUGUGUGCACUUUUUGUGAUAGAAUGCCAUAAUCGUCCACCCACCUCUUCUUGCAUUGUGAUAUAGCGCAAGGUGUUUGGUUAAAGAUGAUGGGGUGGCUUGAUUGCUACUUUUUAAUUCCUACAAACAUGUUUGUUCAUUGGAAGUGUUGGGAUGAAAGAUAUCGAAAUGAUAGAAUCCGGAUGGGAUUGAGGCUUAUUUGGCAUACAAUGAUUUGGGUGUUGCGGGAGGCUAGGAACAAUAAAAUUUUCAAUAAUUGGAAUGGUGGAGUGGAUGAGAUAGUGGAAGAGAUCAAGGUAAUGUCUUGGCGAUGGAUGUUGGAGCGUACUAAUAGCCCAUCGUGUAUGUUCUAUGAAUGGUGUUGGAAUCUUUGAGGUGGUGUCUGCUGCGGUUUACAAAAAAAAAAAAAAAAGGUCUUCAAAUAAUUUGACGCAUCAGACAACACUCACCCAUACCCAUUUUCCCUCCCUCGCCUAGGCAUCAUCCCACAAUGUAUUAGAAUGAUAAAUUCGUCUUGAAAAAUCAUCAAAAGAAAUGUAAUAAAGCAUAAUAAUCUAAACUAAGCACUUUGCCACAAACAAAUGAAUGAUAAACUUGUCUUAAAAUAUCAUCAGGAGAAAUGUAACAAAACAUAAUAAUCUAAAAGAAGUCUAUACGCAAUAAACUGCCAUUUUAACAACAGAACCAUGUCAAACAAAAUAAAUAGCAGCAUCUACGAGUUUUUCCUCAAAAUGGCUUACCACACUGUUUUGUCUACUCAAAAUCAAAGCAUUGCGUGUUCUCUGAACACUCCAUGAAAUCCGUAGAUGGAUGCUUGAUAGCUUUCCUCCCGAAACCAUCACCAAAUGAUCCAAACUUAACUUCCUCGCCCAUUUUGUCAAAUCCCAUAUGGUAAAAUGCAGAACCCAAUUCAAGCUUCAGUUCCGUCCUGUUUGCACCAAUAUGAAAUCUUACACAGUCAGCAGAACCUUGAACUUUGCAGCUACACAUUCCUCGCCUUUCUCUCCCAACAAGAUCUGUUUCUGUAGUAGGUUUUGAAUCCUCAUUAACAGGCCAUACUUGUGUGCCUAAGCAUUUAGAAUCACUCUCAUAAACUACACCAGUACAUUGCGGGAGUUCCGCUUGGAAACGAUGACCUACAGAUGGCUUAGAUUUUUUUCUUUUUAUUCACAACUGCUUUGGCAGUUGAUUUUUUCUUUUCAGUUAUGAAGCCGUGCAGUUUAUUUCCAGCAACAGAAAGUGAAAUGCAGCAAGAACAGCGGGGUUUUGAAGGGACGGGCUGCCUUUGACUAUAUCUCAAUUUCACUACUGGAUCCUCAUACAUGGAAGGAUGCAUCUUCUUCACCUUCUGUAAAGGAUACACGUUCAGAAAAUUCAGUAGAUAUUUUUUUGAAGAAAAUAUCAUGGUCAGAGAAGCAAAAGCAAACUAAAUUUAAGACAAGUUCAAAAGGAAAGUGUGUAUCGAACGUAAAUUUUUUUUAUUUGACUUCUUUCUUCAUUAAGAAAAUGUUUUUAAUGUGAAUCGUAAGAGUCUCACUCUGACGGGGUGUGUGAAUUGCAAAUCAUGCAGUUCAAAUUCAGGUUUCCCAGUUCAAGUUGAACAUGCUAACGGAUAACCGGGUCGACUGCAGUGUUAAUUAGGGCUACAAAGGUUAGGUAUAACCUGGACACAUCUCAUUUGUAAUUUUUAUUUUCCAAAUCAUUCCUCCUUUACACUUGAACUUGUAAAUUGAAAACCCAGACCUUGUAAUACAGACCUAAUAAAUUCUCUUGGCUCUAAGUUCAGUUCUUAUUGCACACACAACAUCGCAGGAUGAAGAUGGGAUUAGAGCAUGCAACCUUGCCUUAUGAGUUUGUAAAGGCUAUUUCCAUGACUAGAACCCAUGGCCACCAAUUAACAAGGGAGCAAACUUGUAAAGACACGCUCUCUUUGUUAUUGUGAAGUGCAGUCAUUUUGUAGACUGGGCCAAAGCUAUCCAACUUCCCGUAUAUUAUUAUUGUAUUAACUCUUGUUGAUCUAUAGCAGUUAGCAAGCUGAGAUUUUGGAAUUUAUGUGUAUUAUUUAAGGAAAGAAACCGAUAGAUUGCGAAUAUAUCUUUAUUAAAUACGCAGAAUUAAGUACAUUGUAAUGCUAAUCAUAAAUACAAUAAAAAGAUAACUAGUCAUUCAUGCGAAAACAUUCUGGUUCAGGAUAUGAAACGCACAAAAAAUCCAAUGUGUAAAAUCAUGUAUAAAAUCAUUAUGUGCAUUGAAAUUAUACCUUCGAUGAUGACCCACUGUCUGGUUCUGCAUGCUUUCUGACCGACAGAACAUCUCUUGCCCACAGCAUCUGAUCUAAAAAGUCCUGGCCACCUUUAUACUCCUCAGGAUCAAACGGAUGUAUUGCGAUAUUCUUCGUCCAGUUUAUCAUUCCUGAUAAUGAUUCCCUUUUACGUUUGCGAGAAUGAAAUUCAUUCUCAGAAGUUUCCACAGAAGAGGUGGCUAGAUCGUCCUCGACACCAGUGCUGAAUUUUUCAUUGCCAUCCUCAUUACCAUCACCGUUAAAAUUUUGGACACCCUCACAUUUGUUGUUUUGGCUUUUAGCGUCCAAUAAAUUACCAUCACUCUUGUGGUUAACCAAAUCAAGGUGAUCAAGGGAAGACUCGUUUGCCAUGAACUUUUGACUCUCUAAAUAUGUGCUGAAUUUGAUCACAAAACUAGAGGACAAAAAAAAAAAAAAAAACAAGAUUGCCCUUUUAUAUAUGUUGAUGGUACAAACGCAGAACAACAAAUUUACAGUGAAAGCUGAUCAUAUACUGGUGAAGGAGUAAUGUAAUAAGUAUACAAAGACCUCUAACUGGUAAAUAAUACAUCAAAAAACGGCAGUGACAACAAGGAAAUGAAGGGUUUCAUGGAAGUGUGAAAAGAUAGGCACAAUUACAUCAAAUCCUGAAAAAUCAUUGAGAAUUGAUGGUGGUGGAGGUGGUACAAACUGGUGCUGCUGUUCAAUUUCAUUCAAUGCUGCAAACAUCAAACACUAAUACUAGGGUAGUUAAAAACAUCAGUAGGCCAGGCCCAUUUUAGUCCGGUCCGAUAAAGC